CUGCUUGGUCAGCGCCAGAUGGCUGCCAUCUUCCGGUGAUGACAUCGUGACAAGAAGGCUUUGGGGAUUGAGGAGUCAUCCAGAACCAGAUAGCUGAUUUGAAUGAGAUGACUGGGUCUGUUGCUACUAGAUCGGGAUUGUUCAAAAGGUCCACUCCAAUGGCUCUUCCACAUGGCCCAUAGUUGUAGUUGCUGUGUUCAAAUGUCAAAAUACACAUAAUUAGACACUACAAGUUCAUCAAAUUUUAUUAUAACAUAAAUAGACUUAUUUAGCUUACUGUGAAAUUUGAAUUGGACCUCGUCCGAAAUAUUUCCUUCCAGGAGCACAAGGCCAUUGACUACUUGGUGUACAGUAAUCGCCAGGGCUACCUUGCUCUCUAAGGAAACAGUAACCCCAUGCGUAUGGUCCAUCUGGUGCCGUAGGCCAUCCUCCUAUAUAUAUAUAUAUAAAUAGGUACAUAAUCAAUCACAAUGAAAUUAUAAUUGUUCGAUCUAAAUGUUGAAUUGAUCAAAUUCAAAUCAUCAUACCAGUAGUUUCAUGGGAAGUUUGGGCAAGGAAAGCAGCAAUUUCCCUUUUACGGGCAGUGAUAUCCCCAGUAGUACCAAAUCCAGGAAAAGACCCAGCAGCAGUAACAAAUGCAUUGUAACUGUAGAAAUUAUUCUUUCCUUGACAAGCAUUGUCAUUGCGAUGAUUAAGCAUUUGAUCAAACAUGGAAUUUGAAAUAACACCGCCUAGGUCCCCUGAAGGACCGGGACCGCCAGGACACUGGCUCUGACAAUUACCAGGACCACAAUACUCAUUAGUGUUACCACACCAACCAAAUUUACUGCAACACAGUCCGGAUGCACAAAGUGCGCCUCCGGCCUGUGAACCACAUUGCUCUGCAGAGGCAGACAGCAAAAGCACAGAAAAUAGUAAGAAAAGAGUAGUGAAUUCAGAAAGCCUCAUUUUUUUUUAAUGUAUUAGUAAAAUUAGUUGAUGGGAAACAAGUUGUAAAAUGAAAGGUAUUUAUAGGUAAUUAGGAAGAUGCCUUGAUGGAGACCUACUGUGAAUUUUCUAUUAGUUGGCUGAGUUGUGAGUUUGAUUUGUGACAAAAUGUAAGAUUUAGUGUUUGAAUAAACUAAGCGCAAAUUUCAUAGUCCUCUGUCUUAUCCAGAAAUAAAUACCGUGGAGUACGGUGACAGGUUACAUAUUAAUAUUUACUGGCGGCUUUUAGCUUCUUACUUUUAUAUACUUCCUCCUCUAGUUUAUUUUUAAUUGUCAUAAUUAAUUUAAUUUAUUAUUCAAAAUUAUAUUUCUUUGAUAUUUUAAAAUAAAAUUUAAAAAUAUUUAUAAAUAUAUAGAAAGUAUUAUAUAUAGUAAGUCUUUUCAUUUAAAAUAAUAUUAAUCAAAAUUUAUAUUUUUAACUUCUCCAAAAGAGAAUUUUGACAAUUAAAACGAAACUGAGAAAAUAUUUUAUUUUCAUUAGUUACUCUCUUCCCUGUGAUGUAUGCAAUUUUCGAGUACGAAAUUUCAGAAUAGAGAUUAUAAAAUAUAUAUGUGAUCUAAAUUAAGAUACAUAUCUAUGUCAUUGUAAAAUAUAAAUCAUGUAAUUGAAUAUAAAAAAAAUACUUUUUAAAAAAUAUUUACUAGAAAAAUUCUACGUUAUUAAUUAAUAUAGAAGAAUCAUCUAACUUGUCUUCUUCUUCUUUCUAGUAAGUUGAAAAUCAAAACUACUUUUUUUUUAUGAGUAAUUCUUUUAGUUUAAAGUCUUUUUAAAACUUUGUGCGGGAUUAAAUUGAAAUACAUUAAUUAAAAUUAAGAGAAUAGUAUUUUUAAGGGGGUCAAUAAAAAAGAAAGUGGCGGCUCUUAUAAUUAUUCCAGAUCUUCUCUUGCCACAUAUAUAUAUAUAUAUAUAUAUAUAUAAGACCUAGUUGCUGGAUUUUUAGACAAAGUAAUGUUAACGGCAGGUGUUUUUUUAAAUUAUCUUACUCCCCAUGUUAAGGUGUCAAUUGUCAUUUUUAAAUUGUUCAGAUAUUUUUGACAUAGGAUAAUAUAUCUCGUUCGUUUUAAUUUAUUUAUUUAUGUUUGAUCUAAUAUAAUAUUUAAUAAAGUAAAAAAAAACCGUUUAAAUAUUACUAACUUGAAGUAAAAAUUAUAUAAAUAUAUUAAAAUAUUUUUUAAUUUUAUAAUUUUAAAUAUUUUAUGCUAUGCAAAAGUUAAACAAAAUAAAUUUUUAUAAUGAAAUUAUUUUUAUAAACGAAUUAAAAUAAAAAUCAAAAUAAGCAAAUUAAAAUAGAAAAAUAUAAAGACUAUGAACGGUGUGGUAUUGUAUUCCCUAAGAUGUAACGUGUCCCAUUGUCCUUUAACGACGGCGGAAUUUGAUCUGACUUUUCAAAUAAAAUUUUCUUAUAUUUUAUACUCUCUUUUCCUAAUUUAUAUUUUAUAUGAUUUAUUUUUAUUUUAAUUUUAUAUAAAAAUUAUAUUUACCUAUUUAGUAAUAAUUUAAUAUUAAAAAUUCAUCUUUAUCAUUUGUAAUAUCAUUCCUAGUCAAUAUCCUCUCUUAUUUAGACCAUACAUAAAUUACCAUAUACAAAUCCUUAAACUGUGUCAAAUAAAAUUAUAUGAUAUAAAAUAGAAUAAAGAGAGUAUAAGUUCCUUUUGAAUAGAGAAGCUCAAAUUUAACUCUAAAAUAAAUAAAAAUUAGAGUACAAUAAAAGAGUGUUAUUUUAAAUUUGUUAAAUAUUUGAUAAAAUUUUUUAUUUGUGAAGUCAUAGUCAGUACUUCUUUACUCCCUUGUUUUUUAUAUAGUUUUCAGUAUAAGUUUCUAAUAUUUUUCCCUCUUUUUUUUUUUUGACUAUGUUCAUUCAUGAAUUUAUUACUAUUGUUCAUUUCUUUUUUUUAGCUUUUGUUCCUAAUUGCAGUCUUCUUUAACCACGUCACGGAUAUGAUCAUUAAUAGUUCUAUGUUAAGAACAUUUAACAAGACCUGUCAGAUUCCUAGGAAUUUACAGGUUAAUCCAUCUAUCCUUUUUAGGGGCUAAGAGACUAACCAUAUACUAAGUAACAUAAAUUUAUGUCAAAAAAAACAUAUUAAACAAUUUUUACAUAUCAUAAUUUACAUAUAAAACAUAUCAAACAGUUUUUACAUAAACAAACAUAAUUUACAUAUAUGGAAGUUACUAGAUCUUAAAUAUGAAAACUUACAUAAUUAACGAAGUGAAAUUUUCCUUUCGAGAAAUCUGAAAACUCACAAAAAUAUAACUUCUUCAAACUUAGUACAGACUUUAUAUUACAGAGAACUUUUUUAUGCUAGGAAUUUUAUAAGAGAGAUUUCUGGCAUAAUUUCUUAUUUUUGAUUUUUGAUUUUUCUGCUCUUUUUCUUUCUUAUUUUUUCUUCAACUGAUAAUGUCUGCUUUUAUAUAGAGAUCUUCGAACUUCAAACUUUGUAUUUCAAAUAGAAAGAGAAUCUUAUCAUCUCAGUCGGUACACUUCUGGGCCCUAUCGUCAAAUGAAAUAAUGCUCCUUCUCUUGCAUUAUUGUCCUCGUUGUCUGGUAUCUGUCUUAUCCUUUUAAGCAUGUCCCAACAAUUUUUUCACAGAUGUGUAAUAGUGAGUAAAGUGGGACUCACAGAUUGACUAAAGAGGCAUCCCUCUUGAUUACAAUUUUUUUUUACAAAAUACUUUAAUGUAUAUCUAUAUUAUUAUUAUUAUUUAUUUAUUUUUUAAGUGUCUAAAUUAUGCAAUGUUAUAGGAUCAAAACUCAUCCAGAGUCAUCAUCAUUAGGAUUUUUGGACAUAUUGCAUUGUCUCUAAGUAAUUUUUUUGAGUUUUAUUGACUAGUUUUCUGGCUUGGAAUUGGGCUUGGGUCUUUAAUCAUAUGUUUCUCUUGUUCCUGUUUUUGUUUGAGUAAUUUUUUUACUGUCUCGGUAAUGAGAAAUUCUAUGUCUUUAAUUUUCUGGAUUUUAUAAAUUUUUUGUUUCAGGUUUUGGGUAAAAGAUAGUGAUAGUCUUCGUCUAUUCUGGGAAGAAGAUGAACUUUCUUCAUUUUCACUUUUUGGCAAAGCGACAACCAUAAACAGAUUUGAUAACACUUUAUCGGUUACCAUUUGAACCGGAUUAGCUGUGUCUUCAUCCGAUACAGUGAAUUUCUUAACAUUUAGUGGGGAAUGCACACCCAUCUCAUCCAUUUUUAUUAGAGAUGGAAAACCCUAUAUAUCUGACUGAGUUUGUACAUCUUAUUUAGUCUGAUCUUUGCUUUUCAUUCUUCGGAGUUUUUCCCUGAGCUUGGCUUUUUCUUGCAUUAGAGCUUCAUUAUUAGAUUUAGCCUUUUAAAUGCUUCGAUCAUGGAUGAGCAAUGAUCACAAAAUAUUACUUUGUAUGUAUCCUUUUGGAUGUUGUAUUAUGGAGUUUUAUCUGAAUUUUGCCUAAGUGUUGGAGAAAUAUAGUAAUUUGGUCCUAAUAUCCCUCUAGCAUAGUCUAAAUCUUCUGUAAAAUCAUUAAAACCUUUAAAAACAAGUUUUUGAAAACCUUUAAUAGAGUCUAAAACUUCUAUCCAUGUCUGAAAAACACCAUUUGUUUUACCAUGAAUUACCACAUAAUAUUUAAAUUUAUUUUCUUUAUUUUGUUAGUAAAAUAAUAUUCUAAAGCAUUUGAAAUAGCAAUUACAUAUUUUGUGUCUUUUUUAUUAUGUACUAUCCAUAUAUUAUCUAUGAGGCAUGUUUGUUGUUUGUCUAGUUGGCAAUUAGGCAAAUAUCUGAAUGUCUAGUUAGACGGUUCAUAUGCUAUUAAGUUUUGUUGUCCAAACUGCAGUCUUUCUAUUCUGACAUCAUCAAUUUUGGUUUAGAGGUUUAAAAUGUAAAUUUGAUAACAUUGUCUGUUUGUAAGAGUCUGCAUAGUCUUGGGUUGAAGGUUGAACUAUCUUACCCCUGUCUGGUAGUAAUAGUUUCAUUCUGUAAAAUUUAAACUUUAUUAGUAAUCUACUUAAUUGAUUUGUCAUAUCAUUAUCAUUUUUCUUUAUAUGCUCAAAUACCAUAGAUUGAUAAAUAGAUAUAGUAUCUAAAAAAUUUUAACCAUCGUCUUUUACUACUACUUUUAUCAUUAAUUUUCUGAUGAAAUUUACUAUGGUUUCACAGUCUGUCCUUACUAAUAUCUCUGAUUUGUUUAAAAUGUAUAUUCUAAAACUAUUCAGGCCAUAUAUUACAACUAGGAUUUCAAUGUCUAUGCUAGCUUUAUUUAUUUUUUUUUAUAUAUUUUUCACUUUGGUAGGCACAUAUUCUUUCUUCUUUGUCAGGACUAUAUGAGGUCUGACUUUUAAUACUGCUCCCCGUCCUUCUAAACUACCAUAUAUUUCGAAAAUUAAAUAAUCUGAUUCUAAAGGUAUAUUAAGAUCAUGAAUAUUUCUUAUUUUAUCCUUUAGUUUUUGUACUAACUUUGUAUCUUCUAUAUUAAAAUUUCUUUGUCCUUUGCUUCCUGUCUUAGAAUAUAAUGGUCCUGCAAGUUUUCCUAAAUCUUUAAUAAAUAGUCCCGCAUAGUUUAUUAUUCCUAAAAUUUUUUGUAAGUCUUUUAAACUAUUUAAUCUAUCUGGCAUACCUAAAGUUUUUUUUUUGACUAUAUGAGGUUGUAGUUUAAUUUUUUCUUCUCCUAAUAUAAUUCCUAAAAAAUUUAUAUAAUUCUUACAUAAUUUUAUUUUCUUUUUACUAAUUAUUAUUCCAUUAUUAACAAAUAACCUAAACGCCGUCUGUAAAUGUCCUAAGUGUUCUUUUAUAUCUUUACUGAAUACUAAUAUAUCAUCUACAUAUACUAGAACAAUUUUUUUGUAUUCUCCAAAUAUUUUAUUCAUUUUUCUUUGAAAAAUUGGAGGCGCAGUUUUUAAACCGAAUGACAUGACUAACCAUUUAAAAUGUCCUUCUGGACAUGUAAAGGUUGUCCAUUCAAUACUAUCCGGAUGCAUUUUUAUCUGCCAAUAUCCUGAUUUACAAUCAAACUUACUAAAUAUUUUUUUCUUGUAUUCUAUUUAUUAGUUCUAUUUUAUCUGGUAAUUUAUAUCCGUCUGUUCUAAUGUUAUCGUUUAAUCUUUCAUAAUUUAUUACCAUUCUAACUUUUCCUCUAAUUAUUUCAUUAUGAUUUCUUAUCAUAAAUGUUGCCGAUCUAUGUUUUGAGGUCGAUCUUUUUGUUACUCCUAACUCUAAUAAUUCUUUAAUUUGUAUACUAAAAUCUUCUAGAUUUUGAUUGGUUGCUUCUAUCGCAACAGUUUUUAUUUUAUAUUCGGGAUUUAUAAUGUCAAGUUUACACACAAUUUUGUUAUUUUUCCAAUGUUUUUAAGGCUUUUCACCUAUUAUUUUUAUUUGAUCUAGGAUUUUUAUAAUGUUAUUUAAGUCUUGUUGAUUUUUUAUUUGUCCUAUUUUCUGAAUUCCUGUUUUAAAAUUAUAUAAUUUUGUUGUCAUUUAUAUUAAGACAUAAUUUUUGUCUAAUUCAUCUAAAUCUUCUAACUCUUCUAUUUCUGAUAAAUUUUCAGAUAUUAUAUUAUAACCUAAGGCUGGCAAACGGAUCGAUUUUUUGCCGGUCCGGUUCGGUUCUAGUCCGAUUUCCGUACCGAUUCGUUCGGUACCGGUUGAACCAAACCGGUUCCCAAUUUUUUAUCCGGUUGAACCGGUUCGGUAAGAAUCGAUUCCGGACCGGUCCAAUCCGGUAAUAACCGGUUUAGUUGAUUUUUUCAAUUUUUUUUAUUAAGGUGGCCAUUUUAUGACCGUUGGGCUGGGGCCCAAAACGGUCAAUUAUCACCCCACCCCUUUCUAACCCAUUUACACUAAAAAUAUACCCCUUUUUUCCAUUUUAAAUCACAAAUUCACUACUUAGACAAUCUCUCAAAGUCUCAAUUUUAAAUCUCUCAUAAAUUAUUAAUUAUUAUAUUGUGAUAUUGAGUUGGAGUUUGAAUUUCGAAAGCUACAAUAGGCAUCUAUCAAAUCUGGCUUUGGUUAUACGUCUACUUUUACGUAAACGUUUGUUACAUUCGUCCAACUAUCAACUUUAAUUGUUAUUUGUUUAUUAAUUUAGUUGUUUUAUCUCUUUUAUUAUAUUAUUUUGCUUGUUUUUCUCAUAUAUUUAAUUAUUUUAAAUUUUAACAUGAAUUCGAAAAGAAAUAGUGAUAAAAGACUAAUGUCGGAAUUAAAAAAUAAAAAGGGAGGAGUUAGUAGUUCUUGUUCUAAAAAUUUGCCACCUAGAUAUUUAGUUAAUAAUAAUGAUUAUACUUGUGUUAAUGAAACUUUUUUUACGUCACCAAGACCUAUUGAAUUUAAUUCUGAAAAUGAAGUAGAUCAUGAGUCUUUAAAUAGACAUUAUACUAAUUUUGAGGAAGAAUUAGAAGAAGAAGUAGAAAUAAAUGAGGAAGAUGACUACCCCGACUAGUCCGGUUACCGAAGUCUCCCUUUUACCUACUUUUUCAAAUGUCGCCGUCGUACGUGUUAAAAGAUCGUUAGUAUGGAAAUUUUUGAUACAAAAUGAGGCAAAAAGCUACUGUUUCGUGCACUAAAUGUAAAUUGGUAAUGAAACAUGUAACUACGGGUACACAAGGGGGAACGUGACGACUAAGAACACAUUUACGAAAGUGUAAUAAAGAAUUUUCUCGCCUAGAUGAUAUAGAAAGAGCUAAUAGAAAUGGAACACCCAUACCUGAAAGUUCUAUGGGUGUUGGAGGUUCUAAUAUGGUUCAAGGUGUAUUAAAUAUGUCUAACCCGGCUAGUCGAAGCACACACCGCACGUAUAAUAAAGAAAAAGAUCGUAGAGAAUUAGCUAAAAUGGUUGCUGUUUGUGGUUUACCUUUUUCAUUUCCUUCACAUCCUGGUUUUGUUCAUUAUAUUCGAGAAUUAUAUAAUCUAGAUUAUGAAGGUAUUCCAAGAAAUACGAUUAAAAGUGAUCUUUUUAAAUAUCAAAAAGAAUAUUCUCAUUUUCUUUGUUGUUUAUUUGCUUAUUAUGGUAGAUUAUCUAUUACUUUUGAUAUGGGACAUAGUCCUAAUGGCAACAAUUAUUUUACACUUACUGUCCAUUGGAUUGACCAUGAAUGGGACAUGCAAAAACGAAUAUUAGCGUAUAAAUUUAUUGAAGAAACUAAAAUCGGUUCUUAUAUAGCAUCAAAAGUAGGCUCUAUUUUACAAUAUUAUGGAAAAUGUGAUAAAAUAAUGAGUGUCACUUUAGAUAAUGCUUCUAAUAAUUUAAGAGUCGUUGAUUAUUUAAAAAUUAGAUUUUGUCCAAUUGAUAAUGAUUGUUUUCAUAUUAAGUGUGCCGCACAUGUCUAUAAUUUAAUAGUAAAAGAUGGUAUUUCUCAAUUUGGAGUUUCUUGUGAAAAAUUAGUCUUGCUUGUAAUUGAAUUUUUAAAGCUAAAGUAAAAGCUAGAAUUAUUGAAUUUAAAAAUCGUUGUAAUGAAUGUGGACUUGCAUAUAGAAAAAUUCCAAAAGAAAUAUGCACUAGAUAGAAUUCUUCAUUUGAAAUGCUUCAAGUUGCUUAUGUUUAUCAAAAACCGCUACAAUUAGUUUUUAAUGCUCAUAAUGCGGAUCCGAGUUUAAGAAUUGGCUUUGAAGAUCGACAAAAUACAAAAGAACUGAUUGAUUUUUUAAAUGUUUUUUAUAGAGCAACAAAUGCAUGUUCUGGUCAAUAUUAUCCUACUAUUUCUUCUGUUUUAGUAAAUAUUUGUGCUAUUUUAAUUGAAUUUGCUAAAUAUAAAGGAAAAGAACAAUUUAAAGAUUCACUUGCUUUUAUGAUUGAUAAAUUCAAAAAAUAUUUUUUCCCUAUUCCGUGUUGAAAGAAUGGUUGAAAAGAUUUAUGUAAAUUUAGAAAUUAAAGAUGAUGAAACUUCUAGUGUUGAACAAUGUAAAAGUAGCAUUUAUACAAAAGUUAGAGAUUUAUAUAAUGCAUAUAAAGUUGUAGAAAAAAAUAUUCCAAUAGUUAAACCUUCAUCUUCUAAGCCUAAAAGUGAUGAUACAAAUGAUAUGAUGGAUGAAUAUCUUGAGCUUGAAUCUUCUACUAAUAAUGAUUUUGAUUUAUAUUUUAACCAGACACGGGAAAAGAUUAGGCAUGAAGAAGGACAACUUCAACCUCGAAUAUUAAUAUGGUGGAAGAAUCGUGAAAAUCAAUUUCCGACCCUUUCUAGGAUUGUUCGAGAUGUGCUAGCGAUUCAAGCAUCAUCGAUCGCUUCGAAGCAAGCCUUUAGCGUGGCGAGAUUUAUGAAUGGAGAUCAUCGAUAUUCAUUAGCAAAGGACAGUUUGAAAAUAUCGGUGUUGUUUUGAGAUUGGGUCAAUGCCGAAAGAAGAAACACUGGACUACCACUAUUAAGUAUCCAUAUAGAAGACCAAAUAGAUGAAAAUAUUUGGUGAGAAUAGUGAUGAUGACAUGGAAGCAAUGGAAGAAUAACGACAAAUGCCAAUUCCAGAAAAUCUUUCUUUUCAAAUGAUAUAAAAUUUACAAAAAGAAUUUUUAAAAAAAUGCAAUUGUUAGUAUAAUAAUUACUAUUCAAUUCCUCCUAAAUUAUGUACUCUUAUUCUCUUUCUAAUAUUUGUAUUGUAUAAUUUAUUUAUUUGAAUAAAUAUAUGGCUAUUCGCCUUGAUUUUCUUUUAUAAUAGUCUCUUCUAUUUAAUUCAUGUCAUUUUAUAAAUUUAAUUUUUAAUUAUUUUAAUAAAAGUUUAAAUUAAAAAUUUAAAUUCAAUAUAAACUUUAAAGUUUAAAUUCAAUCUCAAACUUUAAAUUUAAUAUAAAGUUUAAAAAACUUUAAAUUCAAUUUCAAACUUAAGUUCAAUAUAAAACUUUAAAUUCAAUUUGAAACUUUAAAUUCAAUAUAAACUUUAAAGUAUAAAAUCAAUUUCAAACUUAUAUAAACUUUAAAGUUUUCAAUUGAAGUUUUAAUAUAAAUAUAUAAUAUUAUAUAAUAAUUAAAAAAAUUAAAAAAAGUACCGCAUGAACCUGUAAGACCCGGUUCCAAAUCGGUCCAACCCGAUUCCGAACCGGUUACUAACGGACCUGGUGGAGCAGGUUGAUUUUUCUGGAAAAUUCGGUCCGGUAAAAUUCGGUAUCGGUAAGAAAAUUCGAUAAGAAAAAUUCGAUACCGGUCCAAUUACGGGUAAAACCGGCCCUGUUGACCCGGUCCUGUCGGUUUGCCAACCUUAUUACAACCUAUUUUACUACAUGUUGUAUUAUUUUUACAAUUAUCGCAGUAUUUUUUUUAGUUUGUAUCUUAUUUUAGUAUUAGGUUUAUUAGUUAAAAUCGACGUAUGAGUGAUACUUUUUAGAAAAAUUAUUCCAUCACUUGUUAUAAUAGUGCCUCCUUUAUUAUGUAAUAUAAAAUCUAAUCCUAAUACAAAAUAUACACUUAUAUUCAAGUCUCUUACCCAUAUUUUAUCCAUUUUAUAAGUAGGUUUAUAAAAUUCUGAACAUGUGUUUAAAAACUUAACCUGUGCUUUAUCUAUAUAGUGUCUAUAUACGUUAUGUGUUCCGUCCAUUUGCAUGGCUGCGAGCGACUUUGCUAGGGUUUUUAGUUCUGCAGGUACUAAUUUCUUGUUAAGGAUGCUAUUAGUACAUCCUGAAUCUACUAAUGCCAAGGUUUCUAUUUCGUAUUCUCCUAAUUGAAGUCUUGUUAAUACUUUAACAGUAUUUUUUUUAUCUUCAUUGUAUAUUAAGGUGUUAAAUUCUUCAUUUAUAAUUCUUGAUUGUCUAUUGAUGACAGUGAUUCAAUAUGUUUUUCCUAUCCUAAUCUUAUUAUUCUUUCUUCUAAUUCUUUUACCUUUGUUUCUAAAAUUAAUACUUUAAGGUUUAUUAAGGGUUCAUUUAUAUAUAUUUCUUUUUUAUUUUGAAUUAUUAGUCGUAGUUGGUUUUGUAUGCAAGUUAUGCAUCCUUCUUUAAAAUAUUUAUUACAUUUAGCUAUUUUAUUUUUGCUAGGAUACCAUUUUCACCAACAACAUGGAUUACUAUCUAGACCCGUGUCCUUUUCGAAAUUAUGUUCGCAUUCUACUAUGUUCAUAAAAUUAACUUGUAAAAUCUUCUAAAUUUAGGUCUUCUAGUCCUAUUUCAUUAAUUAGUUCUUCUCCUUCUGAAUUGGAGGAGCUCUCUUCUUUAGUCUGUUUUUCUACAUCGAUACUUACUAUAGAGUAAAUACUCUCAUUAUCUGACAUAUAUUCGUCUACAUUUAAUAAUGCUUCAUUAAAUUCUUCUACUAAUUGAGCAUUUCUAGUUUUUGUGUUAUACCUUUUAGGACAAGUAUUUGCCAAAUGUUCUAUACCUCCAAAUGUGAAAUAUUCUAACUUAUUUUUAUAAUUUCUAUAUGAACUGUAUUUUCUAACAUGUCUAUCUUUAUUUAGAUAUGGUUUUCUAGCAGAAGAUUUUCUAAGAAAGUAUCCUUUCUUACUAUUUCUUUUAGGGAUAAUGUCCAAGUACUCCCUCAACCUAUGCCCGAAAUCCCAGAGACACACUUAUACUAUACUAAGCUCCAAUUACCCCCUGAACUUAUUUUAUAACUAAUUUUCUACCCCUUUUUAGCCUACGUGACACUAGUUUGAAGAGAAAAGUCAACCAUCGUUGGGCCCACAAGAUAGUGCCACGUUGGUCGAAAAGGGGUAAAAAAUUAUUAAUAAAAUAAGUUCAGGGGGGUAAUAGGACCUUAGUAUAGUAUAAGUGUGUCUCUGAGAUUUCGGGCAUAGGUAGAGGGGGUACUUGGACAUUAUCCCUUUCUUUUAUUAUAUUGUGGUUUAUAUUUUUUUAUACUUUUUUCUUUUAUAUUGAUCUUUAUCAUAGCUUUGAGCAGUGUAUAUUACAUCUUUACAGAAAUUCAUCUCAUUUUGUUUUAAUUGUUUUUGUAUUUGUAGGUGCGUGCACUUUUCUUGUAGUGUUUCCAUUAUAUGUUGUAUCCUAUGUCCUAUUGACCAUUUAGCCUGAGGAUUUUGUAAUACUCCUUCUCGUUUAGUCCACUUGUCUUCUUUUUCUCUUCCUAAAGCUCCAGACAAUUUAUUAAAUAAAUUUUUUCCUAGAUCUUGGUCGAAAGCAUUACCACUAAUUGUACAGUAGUAAAAAUAAUCAUUUAAGAAUUUCUUUAUAUGGUACCAGUUACUUAUACUCAACUAUUCUAAUUUUAUUAUCGCAUUUCUUAGUAGUGUUACUAAUCCACUAUUAGGGUCUUCUCCUGUUAUUAAUGUAUGAAUUUUAUUUGUAAAAUUGUAUGAAUUUGGUCCUAAUGAUACCAAAUAUUGGAACUCUUGUGGGAACUCAACCUUAUAGGCUUCCCAUAAUGCUUUAGUGGAUUGUCCUAAAAAGGUUUCUAAAUACUUAUACAUGGUUUCUGCAUCUGUUUCAGUAUAAUAUUUUAUAAAAUCUGCUACUACGAUUCCUUUCCAUAAGUCUAUUACUGAAUUCCAUUUUUGUGGAUCAUGUGCUGCUAUGUUUAAUAUUUUUCCUUUACUUCUUCCUUCUUGUAGUACAUUGGUUCUUCUAUAGGAUUUCUUUUUCCUAUCGGUUUUAGGUUUGCUGGGGGGACAUCACCCUGUCUAUACACUCUUCUACGUGGUAUAUUUCCAGUUUUAUUGUGUGCAGUAUAUUCUUGUUCUGUUGUUAUUUGGAAUGAGCUACUUGAGCUUGCUGACUCCAUUAAUUCUUUUUGGCUAAUUAUAGAUUCUAACUCAGUUUUCUCGCUAUCACUUUCUUGUACUUCUUUUAUUAUAUUAUUAGCUUUUUCUAAUUUUUCUUGUAACAUUUUUUCUAAUCUAUAACCUCUAUUAUUUGUCCCGAAUUCACAUAUUUUAAAAUGAGAUGUUAACUUUUCUAAGUCUAAAAUUCCUAGUUUACAUCCUUUAUAUUAAACAAUUUAUUUAUGUUGCUCUAACUUAUCUCUUUUGUUUUUUCUAUAGCUAAGUCUACUGCAAAUUCUUCUUCUAAUAUUACUUCCAUGUUCAUUCCUUCUAACGGUAUUUCUUCCACGACGCUUUCUUCUUCUAUAUCUCUAUGAGUUACAUAGUUAUAAUCUGUAAAUCUAAUCGAGGGCUCACCUUUAGAAUUUAUGUACAUUAGAUGAGCAUCAGGAGUUAGACUUUCUUUUUUCUUAAAAUCAUCUAAUUUUCAAUCUAAUCCUGCAUAUUCUUUAGGGUUUAUCUUUAUAGGUUUUACUAGUUUUAUUCCUUUAUUUUCCAUUACUUCAAUACAUCUUUUAUCUGUAAUUUAAAUCUAGUAUUACUAUUGUCUGUUAUUUUUCCUAAAAAUCCUAUGCACAUUAGUAGGUUUUUUCUAUUUUGCAUUUCUUCAUAUCCUUUAGUUUGUAAUUCUAUUUUAAUAUGUUUUUUUUUUUAAAUUCAUCAUAAAGUUUGGGUUUAUAUAAAAUAUUUCUCCAUUAUUUGUUAUAUCUACGUCACUUAAUCCUAUAAUUGAUUUUUUUAGGUCUGAUCAUCUGUCAUCAUAUAUUAUAAUUAAUAUCUUUGUUCCUAAAUUUUUUCUAGUAAAUCCUUUAACACCUAUUAUUAUUAGUCGCAUAUGCAUUAAGUCUUUUCUUACAUUAUUUAGUUCUAUUAGGGAAUCUGAAUUUAUAAGAUUUAGGGCUACCGAAUUAUUUCUAUUACUGAUAGUUGUUCUUCUCUAUAGUGUCUAUAUAAUUGAGAUUUGUUAAGGUAAUUUGUAUUAUAUAAAACUUUAGGGUUUAACAAUGUUAAUUAAUUUCGUUGAAAAAUUUGUACAUCUUUAUCUACAUCUAUUGUUUCAUCUAAUUGUUGGUUGUUUUCUUCUUUAGUUCUUUUAUUUAAUAUUCUCGAUAUAAAAUUAUUACCGAUGCUAUUUCGGGAGUAGUUUGGUCUAGGUCUUUCUGGUCCUUCAUUUCUUGAUCUAGCUGAAAAAUGUCCAUUUCUUUUAUUUCUUUAUUGUUCUUUCUCUUUGUGGAGUGAUUUCUAUUUUAGCUAAUUUUUCUAUUAAUUCCUCUACCUCUGUUAUAUUUUUACUUUCUCUUUUUUCUUUAAUUUUUUUUUAAUUUAUUUUGUUAUUUAUUUGUAAUAAUAGUGUUAUUAUUAUAUUAUUUUGUUUUAUGAUAAAUUGAUCUGAUUUUGAAGAUGGAUUAAACUCAUUGUUAUCUGUUGGAAGAGUUAUUCUUUUUUCUAUUAACGUAGUAGCUUCUUUGUGUGUCUUAGUUUACACUAAAUCUAUCAUGAAAGAACUAUUUCUUUUAAUAAUGUUAAUUCUGUUUUUAUCUCUUGUAUUCUUAUAAUUAAUGUAUUAUUAACUUCUUCUUUUUGUUUGUUUUUUAGUUUGCUUAAUUUUUUAUUUAAUUCAAUUCCUUGUUCCUUAAUAUAAUCUAAAUUACCCUCUAUUUUGUUGAAAAACUGUUUUUGUCUAUUUUGAGUUUCUUCUUGUUCACCUAGUAAUUUUAUAAUUUUAUUAUUAUGUUCUCUAAUUGUUUAACUAAAAUUUAUUAUUAAGUCUAUUAGGGUAUUAUAUUUAGAGUCUUCUGUAGUGUGUAAACAGUGUCAUCCGUUUUCAAAAUUACACUUUAUUACACUAUCGUCUUUUAGCCUUUUAAAUUUUGUUUUUAUAUUUAUCCGUAAAUCUAAGUAUUCUAGAUUUUUUAAAGAACCUAUUUUUACUAUAUUCUAUCCUAAAGGUGUUAUUUUACACUGUUCCCUAUGGUCUUUCAUUCUUUUAGUAAAAUUGUAAAUUUUAUUUCUAAUUCCUUGUAAUUCUCACUUUAAAGCGCUUAUGUAUUCUUCGUUUGUAUGUCUUUCUAGAUAAAAAUUUUCUAGUGUAAAUAAUUGAUUUUCAUAUAUAUUUAAGUAUUCUAUUAUACAUUUUUCUAUUUUUUGUAAUCUUUGUUUUUCUUCUAGUUCUCUAUAUAAAUAUCAAUAAUUUAUUUUUACACUUCUAGUAAAAGGAUGUUUUUUCAUAGAACUUGUAGCCUCUAAUCUGGAUAUUUCUUGAUCUAAGGUGUCUUAAUAACUUGUAUUUUGAUUUUUUAAUUGAAAAUAAUAGGUUAUUUAGUUUCUCGCUAUUAUCUAAUUUUAUUUCUUCUAAAUAUUUUGUAUAUUCGAAAUAUAAACUUAAUAAUUCUUGUUUAACCUUACAAUAUUCUUUAGUAUUUUUAUGGGGUCUUCUCAUAUACAUUUAUCCUAUAGGGCUAUUGUAAAAGGAAUUAUUUCUAAAUAUUUUAUCCGUGCUAUAUUUUCUCUAAUUUCUUUAUUUACGUGAUCUAUCUCUAAACUAACUUUACUUUUUUCUUGUCUUGCCUCUUUUUUUUCUCAGCUUUUUAAUUUUUUCUCUUUCUCUCACUCCUUUUUGUUGCCCUUUCUCUCUUACUCUUUUUUUUAAAUUGUUUUUUUUUAAUUUUUUGCUUUCUCUUUGCUGAUCUCUCUAUCUCUUUGCUUUUUUAAAAUUAUUUUUUAUUUUUUACUUUCUCUUUGCUGCGCUCUCUCUUUUUCUAGUGUUUUUUUCAUUUUGUUUUUCUUUUCAUUUUCUGUCAUAGAGUAGUCAAUAAUCAUAGAAUGAAUAAAAUUUGUAUCAGUAAUUAAUUAAAUAAAUAAAUAAUUUAAUCACAAAAAAUAAAGAGACAUAACAAAUUGCAAAAUGAAUUAAACUUGAAUAAAAAAUGUAUUACACACAUACCAAAGUUAAAUUAAAAAAAUGAUCUAUAGAGUAAAUAAAACUUGUAUUAAUAGUGAAUUAAACAAGUAAUUCAACAAUGACAAAUAAAUCAAAAAAUUGCAAAAUAAAUUCAGUUGCUUUAAAAUUGUAUUACACAAUAUUAAAGUUCAAUUAGAAUAGAAAAUUAAGAAUGAACGGGAAACGUAAUUAAUAAAAGACAAGUCAACAUUCUAUAAACGGAAUUAAACUCAUAUUAUUCAUGAAUAAAACUUAUACCAUAUGUAUUUUAUAAAUUAUUUUUCUUUUAUCACUAAGAAAAUGAGUGAUGGUUGCAAUAUGUAUUAAAAAUAUAUUGUGCAUGUUUUAUAAAUGUAUUAUUAGUGUGUAUCUAAAUUAUUCUUGUUAGUAUCCGAAAAAAAAGUGAAGUGUGCAAUACAUAUUAUAAAUGUAUUAUUCAUGAAUAAAACAUGUAUUAUAUGUGUCUUAUAAUUAUUUUUUGAUUUGUUUCACUAAGAAUGUGAGUGGUGUUUGCAAUAUGUAUUAAAAUGUAUUGUGCAUGUAUUAAAAAUGUAUUAUAAGUGUGUUACCCAAAUUAUUUUAUUUGAUAUCAUUAAAAAGGGAGUGAAGUUUGCAAUAUAUAUUAUAAAUGUAGGAUGUAUUGUUCAUGAUUUUAAUACAUUUUUAAUACAAUUAUGAAACAUAUCUAAUACAACUUUGAUACAAAUGCGAUAUUGUUCUAUAAACUUCAUCAUUUUCAAGCUUCAAUCUAAUAAUUUUCCUAAAGUCAAUUCUAAAGUUAAUUGAACCCUCUUAAUUAAAUAUAAACUCCAAACGAUAUUUUUAACUAUUUGUAGAAACUAUCUAUCCAAACUAAUUGCAAAUGAAAGAGCAGUUAAUGAUUCGUAAACUAAAUAAAACUUGUAUCAACAAUUAAUUAGAUAAGUAAUCUAAUUGUAACAAAUGAAUAAACAUAAUAAACUGCCAAAUGAAUUAAACUUGAAUAAAAAAUGGAUUACACACAUAUUAAAGUUGAAUUAGAAGAAAAAAUUAACAAUAAAUGAAAAAAGUAACUAACAAAAGACAAGACAAUAAUCUAUAGACAAAAUUAAACUUGUAUUAUUAUAAAUAAAACAUGUAUCAGAUGUGUCUUGUAAAUUAUUUUACUUUGUAUCACUAAGAACAUGAGUAAUGUUUGCAAUAUGUUUUACAAAUGUAUUGUGCAUAUGUUAUAAAUGUAUUACAAGUGCUUACUAAAUUAUUUUUGUUGAUAUCACGGAAAAAAAGUGAAGUGUGUUAUGCAUUAUAAAUGCAUUGUUUGGGAAUUUAAUACAAUUUUAAUGCAAUCACGAAACAUAUCUAAUAUAACUUUAACACAAUCGCGAUGCCGUUUCAUAAACUUCAUCUUUUUCGAGUUUCAAUCUAAUACAUCUCCUAAAAUUAAUUAUAAACUUAACCAAAUACUAUUAAAAUUGUGCUAUAAAUUUCAAAAGACAUUUUCAAUUACUUGUAGAAAUAACCUAUCCAAACUAAAUACAAAUUCGUAAAAUUCCUAUAAUUAAUUCAAAAUUAAAAUUUAUACAAUGACCAUCAAUGUUGAUCUCUCGUUUGUAUAAUUUUUAAGAUUUGAAAAUUUAGUUGAGAACAUGAUAUUGUAUAUUUCUUUUAAUUUCCUAUUUCUCUUCUUGUCGUAUUUUUAAAUAAAAUUAAUAAAAUAUAAGCAAAAAAUAAUUUAAUUUAAAUGAAAAAUUCAAAAAAAAAAGAAGAAGAAGAAAAAUGAUACAGGAAGGACAAUGAAGAAGAAGUAGAAAAAAGGAGGAAGAGAAAAGUUAGACAGAAAAAGGGGCGAAGGAUUCUAACGUAUUGUUGUUUAGUUAAAAAAAUGAUAUUGACAUAAAUGGUUAAUAUUGCAUAUUUAUGUAAUUUACCCUUUUUUGUAUUAGAUAAUUAUAUAUAUGUAAUUGUAUGUAUUAGUGAUUAUAUUUAUAUACCUACAUAAUUGUAUAUAUUAGUAUGUAUUUGUAUCAAUGAAUACAAUAGUAUUAGUAUCAAUUAAUAAAUUAUGUAUAAUCAUAUCAAUUUGUGUUUGAAUGUAUUAUUUAUUGUCAUCAUUUGUAUUUAUGUUUGUAUGGACGAACAUAUGUGUAUUCCUAUUUGUAUCACUAAAGAGAUAUGUAUAGUCGAGACUAUCAUUUGUUUUUGUAUAAUUGAUUUAAUAUAUGUUUGUAUCAAAAUAGCUAACAUUUGUAUUCGUACAAGCGAGAACAAUUGGACAAAAUAAAGUAGCAAUGAGAUUGGCAGAUAAUUGGUAUUGUAUAAUUAAUUGUUAUCAUUUGUAUUUAUAUAGACAACUAUUAAUAUUUGUAUUUGUAUUUUGUUUUAUGUUUGUAAAAGCGAGAGAGGGAAGAGGAGAGAGGCAAAAGAGAUGACUGAAAAAGAGGAGAAAAGCAAGCUAGAUUCAUGACGUGAGAGAAUAAGAGAGGAGAUGUAAAUAUGUAAAUAACGGUUAAUCACAAGUUAUAUUAUAUUAAAUAAUUAAUUAAUAUAUAUUUACUUAUCUGUAUAUUUUUUCCUUUUAAUUAAUCCGAUAAUAAAAACGCACUCUUCCUUUUAAAGAGAAAGAUCAUUAAGCCAAACUUCCACUUCUGCCAACUUUUAUUAUUGUGCAAGAGUUUACACUUUCCAAAGAUGCCUAAAUAAUUGAUAUAUUUAGGUUGUAAGCAUAUACACAUUUAUUUGAUUUCGAAGAUUGAACUUUUGGUGGCAAGUGUCUUUGUUUAUUAUUACAAGCAGUUAUAGUCAGGUCCCAUCAGACAUUCAGACUAUUAUCACAAUUUAUUUAUAGCUGAGACAUUAUAGGUUACAAGAGAAUACAACAAAACAAGGGAUGAAGUUGUUACAUAGUAUCGACUAAGAGUCCGUUUCCAAAGGACCGCUGGCUGCCACAAUCGAGAUUGUUACCAGGACUAACUCCAAGAAUUUCACAAUAUCUCCUAUAAAAUCCAAUUCGAUCCUGAACCCUGUUAUCAUUCCCAUGACCACAUUCCAGGCCACCGUUGAUGAUGUUUGUGAUGACACCGAAUCCAGGGAGGCGAUUAGCUGCUUGGUCAACAUUAGAUGGUUGCCAUCUUCCAGUGAUGACAUCAUGACAAGAAGGCUUUGGUGAUUGAGGGGUCAUCCAGAACCAUAUAGCUGAUUUGAAUGAGAUGCUUGGGUCUGUUGCUACUAAGUCAGGAUUGUUUAAAAGGUCCACUCCAAUGGCUCUUCCACAUGGCCCAUAGUUGUAGUUGCUGUUUUGAAAUGUCAAAAUACAUUAGACGCUACAAGUUCAUCAAAUUUUAUCAUAGAACAAAUAGACUUAUGUAGCUUACUGUGAAAUUUGAAUUGGGCCUCGUCCGAAAUAUUUCCUUCCAGGAGCACAAGGCCAUUGACUACUUGGUGUACAGUAAUCGCCCGGGCUUCCCUGUUCUCUAAGGAAGCAGUAACCCCAUGCGUAGGGUCCAUCUGGUGCCGUAGGCCAUCCUCCUAACAAGGCAUAAUUCGACGAAUUUUACCAAUUUCUAGAUUCACAAUAAAAUCAUAAUUGUCCGAUCUAAUUAUUGAAUUCAUCAAAUUUAAAUUGAUAUAUAUACCAGUAGUUUCAUGAGAGGUUUGGGCAAAGAAGGCAGCAAUUUCCCUUUUACGAGCAGUGGUAUCACCAGAGGUGCCAAAGCCAGGAAAUGACUUGGCAGCACUAAUAAAUGCAUUGUAGCUAUAGAAAUUAUUUUUUCCUUGACAAGUAUUAUCGUUGCGAUGAUUCAGCAUCUGAUCAAACAUGGAAUUUGAGAUGACACCGCUAAGGUCCCCAGAAGGUUCGGGGCUGUCACGACACUGGCUUUGACAAUUGCCGGGAGCACAAUGGGCAUCAGUGUAACCACACCACCCAAAUUUGCUGCAACACAGUCCCGCGGCACAAAGCGCACCUCCUGCCUGCACACCACAUUGCUCUGCGGAGGCAGUCAGCAAAGGUGAAGAAAAUAGUAAAGAAAAAACUAUGAAUUCAAAAUGCCUCAUUUUAUUGUUGUAGGAAAAGGUCAUGAUGGGGAACAAGUGGUAAAAGGAGAUGUAUUUAUAGCUAGAAAUAAUAUUUCACAUCGUUAUUUGAACUUUUUUCUUCAUAAAUCACUCAAUUUUAACGAAGCAGACAUGGCUAAAUAAAUAGUGGAUGGACUUUUUAAUUGGCAAAAAUCAAAUGUUUAGGUGGCGGCUCUUAUCUUCUUUAAGUUUAUUUUAUAUAUUUUCAUUAGUUAUUAUCUCAAUUCUCAGCUGAUGAUAAUAUUUUAUUAGUACGUAAUUUAAGAAACAGGCUACGAAAAAAGAAUAAAAAGUUUAAAUUAGUAUUAAAUAUAAUUUUUUAAAGAGAUGUACCAAUACAAAAAGUUACAUAAAUUAAUUAUAAGGAUGAUUUCCAUUUAUAUGUCUUUUUUAAAUAUUCCUUUAGAAAAAAGAUAUCACUUUUUAUUUGACAAAUUUCUUUAACCCAAUAUCGUAAAUGUUAUUUUAAAGAUAACACGAUUUAAAAUUAAACAUUUUGUUUUAAAAUUAUAAAUUAUUUUUGAGAUAUUUUCUUAAAUCUCAUGUUGAACUAAAUUAAGAUGCAUAAAUUAAAAUGUAGAGAAUAAUAUUUUCAAAAGGGGUGGGGGGUUUUUUUAGUUGGGAGGGGGGGGGGGGGUCUGGAAUAAUUAUUUAUAAAAUAAGAGGCGGCUCUUAACGCUGUUUUGAAACAUUACUUAAAUUUUAAGUAUAUAUUUUAGACUUUUUUGUGUUUGUUUGGUUAUCAGCUAACAUCACUACUUUGACAAGUAUAAAAUUUGGACUUUGAUUAUUCAAAUAAACUUUUACCUAUUAAAAAUUAGAGAAAUUACAUGAUUUAAUAUAAUUCACCAUUAUAUAUACUAUGGCGAGAGAUGAAAAAGAGGCGAACGAAAUUUAUUAUGUAUUUCAGAUACAUGCAAAAUAUAUCUAUUGUAAUUCACAUAUAUAUGGUGUUGAAGUGUGUGACCGUCUCAUCUAAGAGACACGUGUACAUAGUGUGAUUUGCAUGCAUAUGGUGUUAAGUGUGUAACCGUCUCAACUAUUAGAUGAAAUAUUAGUUACUCUCUACGUCCCAUUUUAUGUGGCACCAUUUUCUUUUUGGUCAAUCCCAAAAAGAAUGUCACAUGUCCUUAUAUGGUAAGUAUUUAAAUGUAUAAUUUCUUUUUUACCGUUGUUUGUCCCACAUAAUUUUAAAAAUAGUACUCAAAUACAUUUAUGAGGAGAGAGAAAAGUGAAUCAACUUUUGAAGAACAAUUUGGUAAACAUUUCAAAGUCUUCAUUUAUUUCUUAAACUCUGUGCACGAUCAAAUGUCCCACAUAAAAUGGAACAGAGGGAUUAAUUGUAUUCUCAACAUCUGGAUGCUAGAUACAUAUGAGAGUGGCAAGCGAGAUGAGAAGGAGGUGAACGAGAUUUGUUAUGUAUUAAGAUACAUGUGAAUCCAUUUGAAUGCAAUAUAUCUAGAACAAAUUAUACAUAAUUUUUUCCCCAGGUAUCUAAAAGUAUAUCUAGAUGUAUUAAAAUCUGGUAAGAUUCGUAAUAUUGCAAACUAGACUGUAUCUAAAACUUCAUUUGCUUGGACUUAAUAAAUGUCUAAAUUUGAAUCGUUCGGACAUUAGGUCAUUAAAUGCAUUUGUUUUUUUAUCACUUAAAAAUCUCUUAAUGAGUCUAAAAGGAUCUGAAUGAACCAAAUUUGAGGCGAAGUCUUAGGCCUUAUUUUUGCACUUAAUGAGGAUCUGAAUAUAAUCAUUCAUAUUUAGUCCAUUAAGUGCGUUGAAUUUUUAGGUCUGAAUGUUAAUCAUAUGGGUCUUAAUGAGUCUGAAUGAGUAAGAUCUAUAACAUAGCCUUAGGCCUCAUUUGUUUCCAUUAAGAUUAAGACGUCUGAAUCUGAAUAUUAAGAUAUGCAUGAAGAUCUAGAUGUGUAGAUCUGAAUAAACAUCUGAAUAUUAAGAUCUUGUCUCUGAAUUUGAACACCAGAUUAUUGGGACUGUUUGUUUUGAUAUCUUAAUGUACAUAUGAAAUUAAACGAUAUAUCUGUUGACACCCAAUUUUAACCCUCCACAAUAUAACUUAUCAUCGAGUUUCUUAAAUUUCAAACAAUUUAAAAUAAUUAGUUUUAUAAAAAUUUCAAAAAAUAAAAAAUAAACAUAGUUUGGAAACUUUUUAAAAUAUUUUUGUCACAUUUUUAUAAUUUGUUGUAAUAUAUAUGUUUUAAAUAACUAUGUAUAUACGAUUAAUAUAUUUUAUGAAUAUUAAAAAAUCAUCUAAAAAGAUUUAGUUUUUAUUUAGUAGAGUAUUUUAUUAAAUUUGUUUACUUUAAGUUGACAUAUAUUCUCUAGUUAUUAGCUUAUAAUUAAGUUAAUUAUUUUAUUUCGUCAAGUUAAAGACGCUCGUUAAUCAAUUAAUAUUAAUAUGUCUUAUUUAAUAUUUAGCUAAAUUUAUUAAUUAACUCAAUUUAGCUUAACUCAAUUUGGCUACAAUCCAAAUUCAUUGGUUAUUUGUUUAGUUAUAAUUUCUCUGCUAAUUUCCUAAAAGGAAACUUUCACAUAUAACCACUUAAAAAUAAUUAAUUACUCUCCAUAUCUAUAGUUUGAUAAUUACAAUUUGUAACUACAUAUCAUAUGGAAGAAGAGAGAUCGAGGGAGACUGCGAUAGAGAGGUGAGAUAGAGGGGGAAAAGAGUGGGAGAAAGGUGAAUUGUAUAUGUAUAUUGGUUAGAUAAUUAUAUAUUACACAUAUGUAUUUGUAUAUAUGGCAAGAGAGAUUAGGAGACGGAGGAGAGAGGCGAGCGAGAGCGAGAGAGAGAGAGGCGAGCGAGGGAGGGCAGAGAGUGGGAGAGAGGUGAAUUGUAUAUGUACAUAAUUAUAUAUAGCUGUAUAUUAUACAUAUACAUUUGUAUAAAUGGCAAACGAGAUUGGGAGAGGGAUGAGAGAGGCGAGCGAGAUCGAGAGAGUGAGGAGAGAGGGCAGAGAGUGGGAGAGAGGUGAAUUGUAUAUGCAUAUAGUCUAAAAAAUUGUAUAUUAUACAUAUUUAUUUGUAUAUCCUGGUGAAUUAUACAUAUACAAACAUGACUAAUUAUACAAAGUCGAAGUCAGCCCACGUAAUUAAUGUAUAAUGUUAGUCGCAAGUCAUAAUUAUAGCAAACUAUAACUAUGAUGAGUAAUUAAAUAAUAUAAGUUUGCUUAGCCGCGUAAUUUUUCUCUUUCCUAAACCCAUAAAAAAAAAAAACCCAAAGCUUUAGACCUUUUUCUUUAAAAUUCAGCAGCUCAAUAUAAUCUUCUUUCAGCCUAAACCAAAGACCAAGUCCAAGAAACCCACAAACAACAAUACUAUACGUACAUAAUGACCCGCCCCCCAUACUCGUUUUUUUUCCAGCAAGAACAUGCCAAAAUCCAAGUACACCGAUUUGUCCCAGUAUCGUCUUCUUCACGCGUUAUUGUCCAGCAAACACGAAAAAGCGACUCCAACAUCAGUAGCUGCACCAAACGACGUGAACAGUGCUAACAAUAAGCCCACACGUCCCUUUUUCCCCUUUUUUUGGUUGAGUUUGAGAGCAAGAUACAACUCUCCAUUACUUUUUUACUGUUGCCUCGAAAAGGAACGAAUUGAUUCAGUUGGAUUUUGCCCCUUUGUCGCCCAAGAAUUUCUGUAUAAAUAGCCCUUUGCACUCAAGUGAUAAGGACAUGGUUUUGGAAUUUGGAUUCUUAAGACAAGAUUUGAGCUUCGUUUUAAAGAUUGUCACUGCUCUACUUCAAAUUUUUAUGGCUAGUCUUUUGAUUCUAAGUUGAGAGAAGAUCGUCGUCCGAAUUUUCAUAGCUUGCCUUUAAUAUUCGAAGAGAGUGGUGGAAUCGCUCUUCUUGUCGUCCCCAGUAGCUGCCUUGAAAAAGGUAAACUUUUAUCGUCUUAUAUAAAUCAUUGUAUAUUCUCGAUGUACUGAUUAAUUUAAUAUUAACUUGCUAUUAUUGUUAGCGGAUUACUCUGUUGACCUCAUGUUGAGUGGUUCAAUUAUUUUUCUUUAUAAGUUUGAUCUCGUUUCUAAGUAUGUGAAUCUCCAUUGGAUUAGUUUGUCUCAAUUUUGGCGUUUAAAGAGUCAGGAUUUGUAUGGUAUUUGUGAUUUUCUUGCAUAGGAGUUGCUAUUAUUUUGAGUUUAUUUGUUGUACGCGUUCCAUAGAAUCUGUUUUGCCUAGCCUUGAGUUGGUUUUUACCUUCUAUUUGUAUGUUAGUUUAAGUUUUUUUAAAAUAAAAAUAAAAUCGCUACUUGUUCAUAUAACCGAAUAUCUCUCAUUUCGCAUAUGAUUCAUGUUUUAUCUAUCAACUUUACAUCUUGACGAGAGCAACCUAGAAUAUAUGUUUGAGAAGAUAAAUAUAUAUUCCUAUAUUUAUCGAAUCAGCUGAUUAUUCACUAUUUUAGUUCAAAAUACUUCCAUCUUUAAAAUUGAUUCCUUUCUAACUUUGAUCCUUAUAUCUAAUAAGUCUAUUCUAUCCUCAUCCUCCACUUGCUGCCUCAUUGUUUAGCUUUCUCCAUUUGAACAUUCAUGUCCAUUAGUCUAAUAUAUAUAUAUAUAGAUAGAUAGAUAGAUAGAUAGAUAGAAUGGUCAAUUCUGUACUUAUACACAAGACUAAGUAUGUAGAGAAAAUUAAAUGAAAGGUGUCAAAUAAGUCUUGGUUUGGGUUUUGAUGACAGAUUAACAAAGAGCUGGUCAAAUCCUCUUUAAAAUGUAAAUAAGUAAAUUUGGAACCAAAUUAAUAUUUUUAAAACUUUUUAAUCUUUUAUAAAGUACAAAAAGACACUUUAUUUUUUCAACUUUUAUAAUUCUAUUCAAACCAUUUUUUUUUAAAAAAAGUAAAUGAAAAUAGGAUUUUCUCUUCUUCUUUUCUCAAUGUUCUCUCUUCUCUUCUUCUUCCUUUAGAAAAUUUGAAAAUCCGACUAUCAAAAUAAAUAUUCUCCCCCAUUAUCUUAUCUUCCUACUCAUCUUCGAUCGUGACUCUCUUCUCUUUCUGAACUGGAGAUUGUGUUCGACUUAAAAUGAGUAAGUAAUUUUUUUUUAGAGAUUUUACAAUUUUGGAACAAUACUAAGCUUUUUUCUUGGGUUAAUGAAGAAUAAAUCGUUCAAUAGAUGUGAAAAAUGAAUAAUAGUGUAAUGAUACCUAUUAUUUAUUGUUAGAAAGAAAAUUAACAAACUAAAAAGCCCCAAUUUCGAGAAAAUGUAUAUGUAAUGUUAAAAUUCAGUGGAAGUUCAUUUUUUGUUGUUUUUGUUGCUCUUUCUGUGACCAUUUUGUUCAUAUUAUUUAAGAAAUAUAGUUUUAUUCAGUUGUCCAACAAAUAUUUGAAGUGUAGGAGAUUAACAAAAUCUAAAUUCUCAAUCACUAUCUAUAAUUAGUGAAAGAAAAAAAUAAAGAUUACUGCUCUGUAUCACACUCAAACCAAAAGGCAAGGAGAACAAGAAGGAGAAGGACAAGGACCUAGAGAUAGAGAAAGAGAGAUUGAAAAAGAAAGAUAAAAAAGUUGAAGUCAUCUGUGAUGUGAAACAAUAAUAUCCACCAUUGAUUAGAUUGAUGAUUAUGUAUAUCACUGUGAAUUACCUUUUUUGUUUAUAAGUUGUAUAAAACAAUUGGUGAAGUGUUUAUUUUUGCUGAUAAUAUUAAUGAUAUUUUUUGUUGAAACAAAUGUCAAUUAUGAUGGAGAAGAAGAAAUGUGGUGUAUGUGGCAACAUAUAUAACCUACGUUGUAAAAAACACCACAGAAUUAUCUGCAUGUGCCCCAACAAUAAGGAUAUAUGUGGAAACAUAUAUAACCUAUGUUGUAAAAAACACCACAGAAUUAUCUACAUAUGCCCCAACAUAAAGGAUAUAUGUAGCAACAUAUGUCACAGAAAGAAGAUAUGUGGCAACAUAUGUCACAUAAAGAAGAUAUGUAGUAACUUAUGCCACAGAAAGGAGAUAUGUGGUAACAUAUGUCACAGAAUGGAGAUAUGUUGCAACAUUUCAUUGUUACCAAUGUGGUGUAUGUGACAACAUAUAUAACCUUUGUUGUAAAAAAACUAUAGAAUUAUCUGCAUGUACCCCAACAAAAAGGAUAUAUGUGGUAACAAAUGUCACACUAUGAAUUUGUCAAAAAAAAGUAAAAUAAAAAUGUCUAGAACAAUCGUCCCUUCAUUUUCCCUCUAUCCUCUCCUCUAUAGAAGGUCGUUUUGUUUCAUAUUUCAAAUUUAAUUUAUAUUUACUAAUUUUCGUUUUCUUUUCUCUCUUUUCUUUCUCUCGUUCCAUUAUAAUUAAAAUUUUUGCUAUGUCUACAACAUCAGUGGUAAUAUGUUGCGAUUUUCUUCUACAACAAGCCGUCCUUGCCCUCAUCAUUACUAGUUUAUCGUUGAUAUCUUUUAAGAUAAAAUUUAAUAGUUAUUGGUAUUAAAUCAGAAACUUUUUAGUGAUUUUAUCACUUAUUUAUUUGUAGGAUGGUUGGGCUGUUAUUUUUUUUGAAAUAUUAUAUGAUUAAAAAAAUACAUUUUAGGAUGUACAUGUUGCCACAUAUGACAUGUCUGUUGCAAUUUUUUCAACGGAACGUGCAUAUGUUGUUACAUAUGUAACUUCAAGGUAGACUUAAUCGAUAAAUUGACGAUUUAGGAAUGAAAAAAUGUCAAAUUGGAUUAAAUUUUAGUACUUUGCACCAUAAUUAAACAAUAAAAAUAUGUUAUAACACUUGGAACACCAAUUUACAUGGGUGUUAUAUAACCAUCAUAUGAAUUUACUUGGUCAUUGUAUGUUGAACUAGUGAUGUGAUAGUUUUUAUAAAAAUAAUUUAUAAAAUUGAUGAAAAUUUGUAUUAGACCAUAUUUUUAUACUUAGACAUGUUGUAUGACUAUAUAUUAGUGUUACAUGUUGAAUUAGGUGACAAUUUGAUUGAAUUUAACCCCAAAAAGAUCUUUUAUGAUAUACAUAUGUUGCCACAUAUGACAUGUUGUAAUUUUUUCCAACAGGACGUGCAUAUGUUGCCACCUAUGUGACUUCAAAAAUGAUUUAAUCGAUAAAUUGAACGAUUAGGAAUGAAAAAAUUAUCAAAUUGGACCAAAUUUUAGUAAUUUGGACCAUAAUUAAGCAAUAAAAAUAUUCAAUAACACUUGAAACAAAGAUUUACAAUGGUUUUAUAUAACUAUCAUAUGAAGUUACUUGCUAUGUUGAACUUGUGAAAUGAUAAUUUAUGUAAAAAUAAUUGAUAGAAUUGAGGAAGGUUGUUAUAUUAGACUAAAUUUUUUUUAUUAGACAUGUUGUAGGACUAUAUGUUAGUGUUACAUGUUGACUUAGGUGACAAUUUAAUUGAAGCAACCUCUCAAGACCAUUUUAUGAUAUACAUAUGUUGCCACAUAUGACAUUUCUGUUGCAAUUUUUCCAACAGAACGUGCAUAUGUCGUUACACAUGUCAUUUCAAUGAUGACUUAAUCAAUAAAUUGAGCAAUUUAGAAUGGAAAAAUGUCGAAUUGAACCAAAUUUUAGUACUUUGAACCAUAGUUAUGCAAUAAAAAUAUAUUAUAACACUUGAAACAACGAUUUACAAGGGUGCUAUAUAACUAUCAUAUGUAGUUACUUGUCAUUGUAUGAUGAAGUAGUGGUAUGAUAGUCUUUGUAAAAAUAAUUGAUAGAAUUGAUGAAGGUUGUUGUAUUAGACCAUAAUUUUGUACUUAUACAUGUUGUAGGACUAUCUAUUACUGUUACAUAUUGAAUUAGGUGACAAUUUAAUUGAAUUAACCCCCAAAUGAUCAUUUUAUGAUAUACAUAUGUUGUCACUUAUGACAUUUCUGUUGCUAUUUUUCCAACAAAACAUGCAUAUGUUGUCACAUAUGUCACUUCAAAGAUAAUCGAUAAAUUGAGCGAUUUAGGAAUGAAAAAAAUGUUAAAUUGGACAAAAUUUUAGUACUUUGAACCAUAAUUAAGCAAUAAAAAUAUGCUAUGACACUUGAAACAAUAAUUUACAAGGGUAUUAUAUAACUAUCAUGUCAGUUGCGACAUGUAAGUCAUAUGUUGCUACAUGUCUAGCUUAUAUGUUGCAACUUGUGUAAGUUAUAUGUUGCAACAUAUGUCUAUUCUGUUGCUAUUGAUUUAUUGCUACAUAUGACUAUAAUUUGAUCCAAUAGUCAAUUGUUGCAAUAUAUUGUAAUCUGUUGGAAACGUGAAUGCAAAUUAUUGAAACAAUUGCAGGUGCCCAGAUGAUGAUGAAUGAUUUCAAAGAACUAUUAAUUUUACAUAUCAAAAUAAUAGUGUGUGACCCUAAUCAUUUAUGAAAGUAAUUUCAAUUGAUACGAAAUGAAAUCUGAUCCACUGAUUAAAUUAGUUAAAUCUGAUUCAAGAAGAAGAAAAGAAGAAAGCUCAAGGACUAGCAGCCAAGACCAAUAAUGUACAAAAAGAAGAAGAAAAAGAUAAAGAGAAUGGGAAGAAAGACAAUCAAGCAAGCAAGAACGAAGAAGAAGAAGAAGAAGAAGAAGAAGAAGAGGAAGAGGAAGAAGAAGAAUACGAUGAGAGGUGGAGGGAAAAUAUUUUAUUUCCACUUUUGGUACAACUUGCUGAUGGCUUCCCCCAAUUUUAAUUCCCAUCAAAAUUGGUUAAAUUAGAUUUUAGUCAAUUUACCCCUUUACCUUUCAUUUAAUUCAAUGGGUCAAACUGUCAACUUAUAAACUUGAGGGUAACUCCACAAUCCUUAAUCAUUAAUCACAUAAUUGUCACCUACACCCAAUACUUAAGACUUAUGUCACCGCCUAUUUAUUUUGAAACCUUACAAUCACUUUUUUUUUAAAAGCCCAAGUAUCUAUGUGCUUAGAUAUGUUAUUAAGGGAUUUUAUUUUAGGAAAAAUUAGUAAAUUAGUCAAAAUAAAUAACAUAUUUAGUAAGAAUAUCCAUACUUUAUAAAUAUUAGCAAUAAUGUCAAAAAUGUCAUUAUUUUAAAAAAUUUAUGUGUCCCAAUUUUCUUCCUAUUUUAUCUGUCUUUUUCAAUUAAUUCUAUAUAUCCUUUUUUUAGAAAAAAAAAUCAUUCUCUCUCAUAUUUAUCUUUUCAAAUUGUUAAUUCUCUCUCCCAUUUAAUUUUUUUUCUCUUUCAUGGUUAUCUUUUCUGAUUUUCCUCCAACAUUCAAGUUGCAAAUAUUUUUUUGCCAUAUAUUUUGGUUGUUUUUUUAAUCCAAAAUUGAAUCAACAAGAAUCCCUUUGAUUAAGGUAUCUCUAAUCUUUAUCUUAUUUUCAGAUUUCUUUUCUAAUUUUAUUUUUGUUUAAAUCUUAAAAAAAUAUUGUUUGUAUUUUUCAAUUUCCGUUAUGAUUUACUCUUCAAUGGCUGAAUCCAAGAGGCUUACUAGAGGUAUUCAUCUUAAUCAACCAAUUUCUGGUGACUUUUCAUCCUUUAAUUUAUUUAUUAUUUAACAAAUAGUGUAUAAUGUAUGAUCCGCUGCUAAAAUGAGGGAAGAAAGAGGGUAAAAACAUUUGCAAGACUCAUUGGUGUGCAAAACCUUCCUCAAAUUCAGAACGCAAAUGUAGAAUCUUUGUCUACUCGUGAGGAUCUUGAAAAAGACGACGAAGAUCGGAUAGUUGUCGAACAAUUUUCUAUUAGUUUGUUUUGAAUUUAUAGUUCUUUUUUAGAAUUUGGUAUGCUUUCUUUAAUUUGUAUUCAAAUCACUAUGUAUACUAUCAAUAUUUAUAUUUAUUAAAAAUUUCAUGUUGCAUGGUUUAUGAAUCUUGUAUUUGUCCCUAAUUUGUAUUCAUCCAAAUGUAUGUCAACUAGUUAUGUAUUUUAUUUAUAAGAAGAACAACUUUCUAUUAGUUUAUUUGUAUUCGAAUGAAUACGACUUAGAAAAGGAAACAAGAUUUUGAAAAAGAAAAAUAAAUACAUAGUGAAAAUAUAUACGAAUACAAAUGUAUUUCUUAAAUAGCUAUAUUUUAUUUGACAUACAUAUUGGAAUGAAUACAAACUAACAAAGGUAUGUCAACUGAAUUUGAUAUUUUUUUCUAAUUUGUAUUUAUUCUAAAGGUAUGUAAACUAAUUUUGUGUUUUAUUUAAGAAUGAGUACACCAAAUAUUCAAUUAUUUCUUUUCAAUUUUAUAUUUUAUUCACUUUUUCAUCAGACUAAUUUUUUGUAUUUUAUAUAUUAUUAUACAAAAUUCUAAAUAAAAACUAGAAUAAAUAGAAAUACAAAAGAAAUACAUAUUGAAAUGAAUACAUACAAGAUUUUUGAAGAAAAAAAUAACUAUAUAAGGAAAAAAUAUAUGAAAAUACAAAUAUAUUUCUUAAAUGACUAGAUAGAUAAAUUCGGCAUACCUAUUGAAAUGAAUACAAACUAAUAAAAAACUAUAAUAAAUAUAAAUAGAAUAUAUUGUGGAAUGAAUAUAAUUUUAAAAAGGUAAAAUUCUGAAGAAAAAAAAACAAAUUUAUAUUUAAUUUGAAAAUGUAACUGAUGAAAAAAUUAAGGAUGCUUGCCUUUUUUUGAAAUAUUCCCCCCUUAAUUUUCUCCUUUUUGUUAUUAAAUAAUUAUAUUCUUUAAAUAAAAAUAAAUAAUAAAAAUAUACAUAACAAACUAAAAUGACAUUUUUACUAAAUAUUAAAAUUGUUACUAAUGAGUCCUCUUAAAUGCUAAAAUAUUGACAUUUUAAAAAAUUUCCCCUUAUUUUAUUUGUUUUGUGUGAAGAGUUUUUCUUUUGGGUAUUAACUGAAUGACAUACUCUAUGGGUGAAUAUAUCAUUUUGUUUCAAGGGAGAUUUAUAUUAUGACUGUUAUAAUAUUGCUUGUUUGAAUUUUUCUUGUUAUACAUGUGUUGAGCUCUAGUUUUAUAUUUUUAGGUGUUGUGAUUCAUUUCCACCAGAAAAUUUAUAGCUGGCUAACUCUUGUUUUUGUUUCCUCUUUAUGGCAUCAUUGGAUGAGUUCAUUGAACUCUUUUCCUUCCUCCUUUGCAUUUUAACAUGACCCAUGAAAAUACAAAAUUCUUUUAACAAGUCAUACCGCCUUGAGAACUUGAAGAACAGGUUCCCAAAAGAUGGCACACGUCCGGAAGACAUGAAACGGGGUUGAUAUAUGAGAUUUAUACGCCGAUAUACAACUUGUGUAUACCAAAACGGAAAUUGGGUUAAAUAAAGUUGCAGUAAAUUGGCCCACAAACAGAAAAUGAUAGGGGAAAAAAUGAAGGAAGAAUAAAUUCUUGAAUGUACAUUUCAAUGAGACAGACAUGAUUCUUUUGCUGGACUUGUUUCUGAUUUACAAGUUUUUUGGCCUUUCAACAAACUUAAUUAAACUGAAGGACAACAAAUUCACUGGCUGUUCUUUCUAUGACCAAAUAAAAAAUUCACAAUCAUUUUCUCAUAAUCAAAUUCAAACAUCACACUUCAUAGUGAAAUCAUGAAAUUAAGUGAAUUUAAAAUUUUGAGACUUACUUGUGAGGCUUGAGCAGUGAGCGACUGAGAACCUGAGACUGGAGAGCCAAGUAGGUCUGUGCAGAAGUCAUGAGAACUGAGAAGAGUAAGGCUCAAAGUCUCGAGCACUUAAGCUUCUAACUUUUGAAAUUUGAGCUUGCUCACCUAUCAGACAAUCAACAAAAUGACAUUUUAAGGAGGAAAUUUUAUCACCAAUGCAAAAUAGGAUGCUGAAAAUGAACUCCAUCAUCGCGAAAAUCAACAAUUAGACCAGAGUAUAGUACACAAAUGCACUGAAUUCAUAUCUCGAUCCGACUAAAUAACAAACUGGUAUAAUAUAGAGAAAAUACACUAUCAGAAGAUACACAAAAAGUAUGCAUCAAUAUGCACUUCUUCAGAGUAACUAAAGCUCGACUAACAAGCCAAUAUUUUGUUCCUUCGGUUGAAUCACGAAAAUAGACAUACAUAAUGAUUAAUAGAAUGAAUAAAAAUGUUGUAGGCUUGAGGUAUAAUCGUUAGUCGUUACCUUGCGAGUUGCAUCCUCGCCUGAGUGACUGGAGCAGUCGUUGCCUUGCCUCGCCUGAGUGACUGGAGUAGUCCGUAGUCGUCGCCUCGCCUCGCCUGACUUUGGAAUUUGGAGAAAUGAGAAGUCCUUAAACGAGAGGGGGUUUGGAACUGAAGAUUUUCUAACCUAAGACCUAAUAACUAGAAUUGUGAUUAGAAAUUAGGGAAUAAAUAACGGGUCUUAUCGGGGUAUCGGGUACCCGAUACUUUUCCUUCCAAACCCGACCAGGGAAUCGUUAAGUCAAUUAAAAAAAUACUAAAUCGAGCUCCGAACCAAUUACCCAAUAUCCCGACCCGUUAGCCCAAUAAAUUAAAAAUUGGUUCGAGUUAAUGGUUUGACUCGAUUUUCAAACAGGCCUAGUGCUAAAUAUUAUAUCAUGAAGUGCUUAUCAAUUCGUAUAUAUUGGUUAAUUUAUGAAAGUAAAAGAUGUAUAUUAAGUUACUAAGAAUAUAGAAAAUUAUAAUGGUAAGCAAGUUUAAUUAAAUAAGUAAAAAACUUUUAUGAGUUGUUGUGAUGCAGUUGAAUUAAGGUAGGAGUCUUAUUUUUUAGUUUGAUUGGUGUUAAGAGUGUCUUACAUUCUGAUUCAUUCAGAUGUAAUCAGACCCAUUAAGAGGCUUAUAAGAAAAUAAAACAAACAAACUUAAUGAACUGAAUCUGCAUAAUUAAGAUUUAGUCCUAAAAAACAAACAACCUGAAUGAGGCGAAUUUGAUUGAUUAAGAUUCAGACACCCAUUAAGUGCAAAAAAAGUGAGGCCUUAAUAUCAUUCAAACUCUAUUAAAAUAAUAAACAUUCUUUUCAUAAACAAAUUCUCUUCUUCCUUGCUUUUCUUCUGGACAAGUUUCAAGUUUCUUCCUCUUCUUUUCCAAUCAAGUAUCAUUUUUUUCUUUCGAAUAGAUAAGUUUUCAUAAUCUUUUACAAGUAUUUAUAUAAUAUUUCUAAUAUAUAAAAUAUUCUUGGGUGAAUUGAUAUUUAUGAAGAACUCUUCUUGUCACACAAUUUGUUUGUUGUCAAAACUUCUUUGGACGAAGUUAUCAUUGUUUCUUGAGAAAAAUAUUAUUGAAAACACAAAUAAAUCAUUUUUUUCUGGGAUGGGUUAUAGUCUUAUUCUUGAAACAAUUGUUUGGAAGAAGUAUCUUGGUGUGGAUUAUAACUUUUAUUGACCAAAGCAAAAAAAAAAAACUUUUAUUGAUAUAAUGUUUAAUUUAAAAUUUAAAAAAAUAUUAUGCAUAUUCAGAUUUUGAAAACAAACAAUCUUAAUGAUUGAUUUAUUGUUCAAACCUAGAAACUACAUUUUAAUGUUUGUUAUCAACCUAUAUUUAUAAGGUUAACCAAUAAACAGAAAAAGAAAUAAGAUGAAGCAGAAAAAAUAUAAAAUAAUCCGCGUCCACAAAAAUUAUUGUGUCUCUUUAAGAAAUUUAAUCCCCUCACUGUACCCGAGGUUAUGAAUUAAUUUCUCCAAAAAUAAAACGGAUUAAUCCUGUUAAAGAAAUAGUCAUACCUCAAACUUCUUUAACGUCAGCAAACUUAAGAAGAAUAACAAGUCACACAGACUCAGUCGAUCGACACUUUGAUUUUGAGAGAAAAUUAUAUGCAGAGAAGGAAAAUUUCAGUGUUUGAAAAAAAUGAAAAAUGACUUCCUUUUAUAGCCAUUUUCAGCAAGAAACGUGUCUGUUCAGAAAAAUCUGUUCAGACCCGUUUUAUCCAGAAAGUUGUGUCUUUUGAAAAAAAUAACAACUCUUCGAAAAAUGUGUCUGUUAGGAAAAUAACAGCUUUUUCGAAAAGAGUAACAACUUUUCAUAAAUUUUGUCCAAAAAAUUCAUCAAUCAAAUUAUUCACCGAAGCCGAGCGAGCGACGACGACGACGACGCAAGGGGACACCUUCUUCUUAGCUCUUUAAAAAGUAAAGAAAAUGUUUCCUUAUAUAAGGAAAACAAUUUCCUUUUCUUUUGCCGAUAUGGGAGAAAUGACUUUUCAUUUGCAUUUUGCAAAUGACUUUUCAUUUUUCUUCCAAAAUAGUUCCCCGACUUUUUAUAUUCUCUCUUUUCUUUUCUCAUUCACACUUGCUAAACCCAACAAUAUUCAGACAAGUAUUCAAAUUCUGACAUCUUAAUCUUAAUACUUAUCUUAAUAUUCAGAUAUGCAUUCACAUUUAGACCUCUAAAUCUUAAUGAAAACAAAUGAAACCUUAUUCUCAUUUAGACUCUUUCCGAGACACUUUUAUUAUUAGAAAAAAAAUUGUACGCCAUACUUUUUUCUUCAAAAAAAUAUUCAAGCUUGUCUCAUUUUUCAAUUUUAUUAGUCAUCCAAAUUAUUUCCAUUACACUUUUAAGUUUUUUCUUUCUAUUUAUUUAUGAAGAAUUGAUAAAAUUUAUUGCAAAUUUUUUAUUUGAUUAAAGUGGAAAAACAACUUUUCAUACAUAAUGUUUGUGGCAAUAUCCGAGGUUGAUAUGAAGGCGACUUCAUUACCAUAUAUGUAUCCAAGACAACAAACAGAUGAUGUAUGGUUACCUAGAAACAAACUAAGAGUUAGAAACCACAAUCAAGAUUGUCAUCUGGGCUAACUCCAAACAUUUUACAAUACCUCAUGUAAAAUUCAAUUCGAUCAUGGACUCUAUCAUCAUUACAUUAUAUCAAAAAGUUAUUUUUAGUGACAAUUAUUUAACGAUAAUAAAAUGAUUGCUACUAACUUAUUCUCUAAAAUGAAAAAUAGCGGCAAAUGCACACAGGCAGUAAAAAAAUUCUCUUUUCAAGUGGCAAUAAAAUACAAUUUCCACUAAAAGUUAAUUAGUAAAUUCAAUUUUUCUAUUUUAACUCAUUCCCACAAUAAAAAAGGUUGUCAUUAGAUCCGCUAUGUGGGACUUUAAAUCCAUCUCCGUUGUCGUUCAAAUGUCGAUAUUAAUUCUCAUUUACUAGUAACUAUUUAAAUUUCUUCAUUUUUACAAGUUAAAUUAAGUGAUUGAUAAUUUUAUUCGUGGUUUGCAAUAUUGAGAGCAAUUUUAGUGCGUAUGAUCGUCUCAUGAGAAAAGUAAAUUGUUACAAUUGAAACUUAAACCAUUUCAAUUUAUAUAUAUCUUUGUUUUCUCUUCUAAUUGGAUUUAUGUAUUCAGGUCCUAGCUUGAAUGAUUUGUAGAAACAAAUGAUUUUGUAGGCACAUAUAUGAUGAUUUUGGAGUUCGUUUGUCGUAUAGAAUUGAAGUUAAACUUGGAAUUGGGUUAUUAUUAAAGAACAAGACAAAAACAAAAAAAAAUAGAUGAAGCUUUAAUAAUUGGCAUAAUUAUAUAAAUAAACACUCAAAUUUUGAUAUUCUAAUAAUUGAAUUUUUUUAUAUAUGUGGCAUUUUUCUUUAACAAAAUUUGACAUACUAAUUAAACUAUUUAAAAAAUUAUAUUUAUAAUUUAACAAAGAAUGAUGAUGAAAAAUAUGAGUCAAACUUUUAAUAAAAGUAAAAUUUACAAGAAUUUUUUUUAACCUUUUCCCUAUAAGAAAGUAAAGAACUCAAAACUCUUAUUAAGAUUAGGUUAAGCAUUAUAAAUAUACUUUUAACAAAUUUAAAACAUAAAAUAUAUAAGGUUCAUAUAUCUUUGGUUGCCAAUAAAUAAUUUUUUUUUCUAUAUGUGCCCUUUUAUUUAAUAAACUAACAUCUCGAUAUGAACAUUAAUAAGGCGCUAUCAUGUUCCGUCAUCAAGAUUCAUUAAUGGUAGGCAACUCCACCCUUCCCAUGCGUCAACAUAGUACUUAAAAUUUUUGAAGGAACGCUUCGUCUUAAGAUAAAAAAAUUUUGAUCUACUUUAAUAAUCAUAGCAAAUAAAUAUUUUCUCCAUUGUUUUCCUCUAUCCAAUCCAAUCUAACUAAUAUCAAAUUUACUGAUAAAAGUGAAAAAAGAUACAAUCCUUAAUUGGCCAAAUAGAUAAAUUUAAUGAAAUGAUAUUGCCAAAGAAAUUAAUAUGCUAUUUAACAAUGAUGAAAAAACAAAUAUAUUAUUUCACGAAAAUACUUAAAAGGAAAAAUACAAAUUAGGUCUCUAUGAGGAUUGAUGUGGGUUAUAUUCCCCCUAAAACAUGUCCUUUGUAAAAUCUAAAAUGCAUAGAAUUGAACUCUUGCAAAAUCAUCACUUAUAUAGUUGCAAUUAUCACAAUGUCUUCAUUCUUUUUGUACCUUCGAUUCGCUUUGUGAAAGCGGACAUACUAGACUUUGAAAGAACUCUGUCAAAACACCAUAAUCAAAUUCCCUAGUCUUUGAAUAUCUAAUUGAGUUAUCCUUUGGAUCGUAUAUCAUCACACUAUCAUCAAACAUAAUAAAAAAUUCACCUCUUUUUGACAAACAAAAUGAGUGAGAAAACAAAUAAUCCACGGGAUUUAGAGCACAAUCGAUUGCAAACAUUUUUAUCCAAGAUUCUUUUUCCUCGUACUCCUCCAUAGUCCACACAUCUACGUGAGUAGUUGAAUUAUUACAAAUCGCGCAAAGAUUAUUUCCCAACACCCCCAACACAAGAGCUUCACUCUCUUCUCCAUUGUAAGGUCGUUCCACUUUUCUCCAUUUCUCAUUAAUCAAAUUGAAAGAGGUUAUGCUCCAACCACUUUUGAUAUUAAUCCUAGUAGUCCAAUAAAAUUUUCCAUUCACAAAUUUACCCAAACCAAUUAAUCGUAUCACGUUUAGUGAACAAUGUAUUAUUUGCCAAGAAUCUUUCUUUAGACUAUAUAUAUCUAUCUCUUGAAAAUGAGGUGGACAUCCAACAAUAGAAAAAAUACACACUACCAUGUAAUCAUCAUGGAUCUCAUCAUAUCCAAAGCCAUAAGUGCAAUAACCCUCAUUCUUCAAUUGAGUUCUAAAACUAGGCAAUUUCUUACACUUUCUUAUGGUUGGAUUCCAUAGAAUUAUUCAUUUUCCUUAUUCACAAGACGAACCAAUCCAUUGAUAAAACCCUCAAUCGUAAAAGAUAUACCUGAGUUUUUUAUGUGAUAAUCCAAAUCAGUUUCCUCCAUAACAAAACAAUCCUUAUGUUUGAGUUCUGGUUGGGUUAUACUCAAAAUAACAUUAUGGUUGGUAAAGUAUUUGUUAUGAUUAGCCGAUAAAUUAAGAUGGUACUUGAUAAAUUUAGGACUAGUAAUCAAUGCAUGCCAAGAUUUUGAAACAAACCUGAUUUUCAAGAGAGAUUUUACCGGAAGCUUUAAGAAAAUUUCAAUAACAAUUUCAAUUGGCAGAUCAAAAGGGAUUGUUGGGUUGCUCUGAUGAGAUACUCCAUGUUUUUCUGGUAAGUUUAAAACCACAAAUUCGGAACUUAAUUGUUCCUCUGCCAUGCUUUAGAAUGAAUAGGCUUGUUCAUCUCUUCGCUAAAUUGAUAGCAAACUCAUAUCACUAAAAUAAAUAAAAUAGUGUACUAAAAUUUAAUGUUAGAUCAUCUCUCAUAAUACUUUGGAGAAAAAGUCAGAACUGAUAGUCGUUACAUGAACAAAUUUCAAAAUUGUAACAAAAGUUAUAAAUGCUAAGUCACUCUUUUUUCAAAAUGAAAAAGUCAGUCUUGUAUGGAAAAAUAGUCAAUAAUGUAGUAAAUUCAUUUUAUCAGUUAUCACUCUUGGUAAAAAUAAUCAUCAUAAUAAACAUAAAAUGCUACCUUAGUCUUGUAAGGAAAAAUAGUCAAUAAUGUAGUAAAUCCAUUUUAUCAGUUAUCACUCGACUGUUGCACAUGCAGAUUUUCAAAAAAGCUGAUUUUUUUGUCUGUUUUAGUUACGGGGUGUUACACAAAAAGAAUGAGAAGAUAGACAAGCAAGCAAGCAAGAACGAAGAAGAAGAAGAGGAAAAAGAAGAGUACGACGAGAGAUGGGGGACAAUAUUUUAUCUCCCCUUUUGGUACAGCUUGCUGAUGACUUCCCUUAAUUUUAAUUCUCACCAAAAUUGGUUAAAUUAGGUUUUAGUCAAUUUACCCUUUUUUACCUUUCAUUUAAUUCAAUGAAUCAAACUGUCAACUUAUAAACUUGAGGGCAACUCCACAAUCCUUAAUCAUUUAUCACAUAAUUGUCACCUACACCCAAUACUUAAGACUUAUGUCACCGCCUACUUAUUUUGAAACCUUAUUGUCACUUUUUUUUUAAAAGUCCCAAGUAUCUAUGUGCUUAGAUAUGUUAUUAAGGGAUUUUAUUUUAUUUGUUUUGUGUGAAGAGUUUUUCUUUUGGUUAUUAACUGAAUAACAUUCUCUACGGGUGGAUAAUAUCAUUUUGUUGCAAGGGAGAUUUAUAUUAUGACCGCUAUAAUCUUGCUUGUUUGAAUUUUUCUUGUUAUACAUUUGUUGAGCUCUAGUUUUAUAUUUUUAGGUGUUGUGAUUCAUUUCCACCAGAAAAUUUAUAGCUGGCUAACUCUUGUUUUUGUUUCCUCUUUAUGGCAUCAUUGGAUGAGUUCAUUGAACUCUUUUCCUUCCUCCUUCGCAUUUUGACAUGACCCCUGAAAAUCCAAAAUGCUUUUUGUUUCCUCUUUAUGGCAUCAUUGGAUGAGUUCAUUGAACUCUUUUCCCAAUAGCUUGCACACGUCCAGAAGGCAUGAAACGGGGCUGAUAUAUGAGCUCUGUACACUGAUAUACAAAUUGUGUAUAUACCAAAAAGGAAAUUGGGUUAAAAAAUUGGGAUAAUUACAUGGGAUGGCAAACAUCCCUAUGUAAUUAGUUAAUAAGGGUAUAGUUUAAUUUAUUUACGGUCAGUAAAUAUAGUUUCAUUUUUUGCCAUAAUUAAUGGGAUCCACUAUCUAUUUGUAUACAGAAUAAAAAUAGUCAUCCAAAGAUCUUUAUAUAAUUUUAUUCAAAAAUCAAAUUUAUCUCUCAUAUUCUCAUUCCAUAUCUUUUCCUAAAAUUACUCUUCCCUUCUGAUUUGAAUUUCCAUUGGGAAAAUUUUGACCUCUCCCUCCAAUGUUCUUACACUUUUCGUAGGUAACUGCCAAAUUCAUGGCUUUCAAUAUUUUUUUCUUGGCUCCUUCUACAACAAUUGUAUGUGUAGUAUGAUUGUUAGUUUUUUCAUAUUUUUUUUAAAAAUCUUUAUUACUUAUUAAUUUACAAAUCUUUCAAAAUCAGAAUAGAUGAUUUAUGUCCAUGUAUGAGGAUUACGAGAGGUAUGUCAUUGCAUAUCAAUGUUUUUGAUAAUCCACCUUCGUUUCAAUUGGGUUAACUCAUGAUUCUGGGUUAAUGUAGGGUCUAUGGCAAAACAUAAACAAGUUUAAGUUGAACAAUCUAUUGAAGAAUUGAGAUCCUGGACAAAUCUGAAGAAUAUCGGGAAUAUCAGGUAGUGUAAUUUAUAUACAAAUUACAAAGUUAUGUAUAUAGUGAUUUAGAUAUUAAGUUAAUAUAUACAAAGUAUUAUGAAACAGUUUUUAAUUGUAUAUUCUAUUAGUUGUAUACCAAUUACUAAAGUUAGAUAUAUAGUGGGUGUAUAUUAAGGUAACAUAUACAAAGUCUUAUGAGGCAAUAGCUAUUUGUAUACAAUUAUUUAAUUUUGUAUAAAGAAAUUUGUAAAUCACUCUUUAAUAUUAUAAUACAUUAUACAAAUUUGUCGAUAUAUACAAAAAAUUAUGAACAUAAUAAAAUAUUGUAUGUAUAAACGUUACACCCUCAAAAAUAGAAACAUAUUUCAAGCUUACUAUAUAUACAAUUAACAAAUAAAUAUAAUAUACAAUCAGUUUAAUCAUUAAUACUUUUAAAAAAAUAAAAUAAAAACAUGAAAUCACAGAUGCACAUAUAUAACUAUAAUAUAUAUACCAAGAUUAUUGUACAUUAUACAAAUUUCCAGAAUUAUACAAAAAGAUAAAAUAAGAACAUAAUAAAAUAUUGUAUACAAAAAAAUUACCCAGAAAAAUUAAAAGAAUAUAUGAUGGUCGUAUACAGUUUAAAACACAAAAUCAAUUUCACACAAAUAUUAUAUAAAAAUUAUAUACAAUUUCGCAAAUAUAUACAAUAUAAUCAAUUUAUAUAUAAAUAUAUUUGUGUGUGUGUUUCAUAGAUUUAUCUAAAAAAAAUUAGAAAAAUAUUUAAUUUUGAACUGGUAUUGUCUUUCUAUAACUUUAGAAUUCUUUUUUGGGGGAAAUAUUUGAUUUUAAAUGUUUUGCUUAAAUCAUGGGAUUAUGUAAAUUUAUUGUUAGCAUCUUUUGUGCUACUGUUACCAUUUAUUGAAAAAUAAUUUUUUUGUACAAAUUUAAUUAAAAAAAACGUUUUAUACAAAUUUAGAGUCACCUAACAAACUAAACUAUACCCAUGAAAUGUAAUUACGUACACUAUACCCAUAAAAUGUAAUUUCAUAACAUCCGUUUGCCAUAUAAGAAAUUUCCCUAAAAAAUUUGCAGUGAAUUGGCCCACAAACAGAAAAUGAUGGGGAAAAAUGAAGGAAGAAUAAAUUAACUUGAAUGUACAUUUCAAUGAGACAGACAUGAUUCUUUUGUUGACUUGUUUCUGAUUUACAAGUUUUUUGGCCUUUCAACACGCUUAAUUAAACAAAAGGAUAACACAAAUUCACUGGCUGUUCUUUCUAUGGACAAAUAAAAAAUUCACAAUCAUUUUCUCAUAAUCAAAUUCAAACAUCACACUUCAUAGUGAAAUCUUGAAAUUAAGUGAAUUUAAAAUUUUGAGACUUACUUUUGAGGCGUGAGCAGUGAGCGACUGAGAACCUAAGAUUGGAGAGCCGAGUAGGUCUGUGCAGAAGUCAUGAGAACUGAGAAGAGUAAGACUCAGAGUCUCGAGCAGUCAAGCUUCUAACUUCUAAAAUUUGAGUUUGCUCACCUAUCAGACAACCAACAAAUGAAAUUUUAUCACCAAUGCAAAACAGGUUGCUAAAAAUGAACUCCAUCAUUGCGAAAAUCAUUAAUUAGACCAGAGUAUAGUGCACAAAUGCACUGAAUUCAUAUCUCAAUCGGACUAGAUAACAAAUUGGUAUAGCAUAGAGAAGAUACACUAUUAGAAGAUACACCAAAAAUAUGCAUCGAAUAUGCACUUCUUCAGAGUAACUGAAGCUCGACUAACAAGCCAAUAUUUUGUUCCUUCGGUUGAAUCACGAAAAUAGACAUACAUAAUGAUUAAUGGACGAAUAAAAAUAUUGCAGGCUUGAAAUAUAACCUUUAGUUGUUACCUUGCGAGUUGCGUCCUCACCUGAGAGACUGGAGUAUUCGUUGCCUUACCUCGCCUGAGUGACUGGAGUAGUUCGUAGUCGUCGCCUCUCCUGUUUAUGGAAUUUGGAGAAACGAUAAGUCCUUAAACGAGAGGAGUUUGGAACAAAAGAGUUUUCUACCCUAAGUCCUAAUAACUAGAAUUGUGAAAUUAGAAAUUAGGGAAAAAUAGCGAGUCUUAUCGGGGUAUCGGGUACCCGAUAUUUUUCCUUCACAACUCGACCAGGGAACCGUUAAGUCAAUAAAAAAAAACUAAACCGAGACCCGAACCAAUUUCCAAUACCUCGACCCAUUAGCCGAAUAUAUCAAAAAUUGGUUCGAGUUAAUGGUUUGACUCAAUUUUUGCACAAGCCUAGUGCUAAAUAUUAUAUCAUGAAGUGCUUAUCAAUUCGAAUAUAUUGGUUAAUCUAUGAAAGUAAAAGACGUAUAUUAAGUUAGUAAGAAUAUAGGAAAUUAUAACGGUAAGCAUGUUACUAACAUUAAUUAAAUAAGUAAAAAAAUUUUAUGAGUUGUUGUGAUCUAGUUGAAUUAAGGUAGGAGUCUUAUUUUUUAGUCUGAAUGGUGUUAAGAGUGUGUUACAAAUCUGAUUCAUUCAGAUAUAAUCAGACCAAUUAAGAGACUUAUAAGAAAAUAAACAAACAAACUUAAUGAACUGAAUCUGAAUAAUUAAGAUUUAGUCCUAAAAAACAAACAACCUGAAUGAGGCGAAUUUGAUUGAUAAAGAUUUAGACACCCAUUAAGUGCAAACAAAUGAGGUCUUAAUAUCAUUCAAACUCUAUUAAAAUAAUAAACAUUCUUUUCAUAAACAAAUUUUCUUCUUCAUUGCUUUUCUUCUUGACAAGUUUCAAGUUUCUUCCUCUUCUUGUUCAAUCAAGUACCAUUUUUUUCUUUUUAAUAAAUAAGUUUUCAUAAUCUUUUAUAAGUAUUUAUAUAAUAUUUCUAAUAUAUAAAAUAUUCUUGGGUGAAUUGAUAUUUAUGAAGAACUCUUCUAGUCACAUAAUUUGUUUGUUAUCAAAACUUCUUUGGAAGAAGUUAUCAUUGUUUCUUGAGAAAAAAAUUAUUUGAAAAAAAAUAAAUUAUUUUUUUCUGGGAUGAGUUAUAAUCUUAUUCUUGAAACAAUUCUUGGUGUGGAUUACAACUUUUAUUGACCAAAGCAAAAAAAAUAAAUUUUUGUUGAUAUAAUGUUUAAUUUCUAAUUUUAAAAAAUAUUAUGCAUAUUAAGAUUUUGAAAACAGACAAUCUUAAUGAUUGAUUUAUUGUUCAGACCUAGAAACUACAUUUUAAUAUUCAGACAAGUAUUCAAAUUCUGACAUCUUAAUCUUCAUACUUAUUUUAAUAUUCAGAUGUGCAUUCACAUUUAGGCCUCUAAAUCUUAAUGAAAACAAAUGAGCCCUUAUUCUCAUUUAGACUCUUUCCGAGACACUUUUAUUAUUAGAAUUUAAUUGUAUGCCAUAUUUUUUUCUUCAAAAAAUAUUCAAGCUUGUCUCAUUUUUCAAUUUUAUUUGGUCAUCCAAAUUAUUUCCAUUAUACUUUUAAUUUUUUUCUUUCUAUUUAUUUAUGAAGAAUUGAUAAAAUUUAUUGCAAAUAUUUUAUUUGAUUAAAGUGCAAAAACAACUUUUCAUACAUAAUUUUUGUACCCUUUUCUUUAAUAAAGUUUGAUAUUUCAAAGAGAUUAAUUAAAUUACUUAAAAAGUUAUAUUUAUAAUUAAAAUUUGUUAAAAGUAUAUUUAUAAUGCUUAGCCUAAUUCUAAUAAGAGUUUGAGUUUUUAACCUUUUUAAACCUAAUUCAACUUUUUUACCUUUUCCCAAUAAGAAAGUGAAAACUCAAACUCUUAUUAGAAUUAGGCUAAGCAUUAUAAAUAUACUUUUAACAAAUUUAAUACACACAAAAUAUAUGGUUCUUAGAUGUUUGGUUGCCAAUUAAUAAGAAAAAAUAUAUUUUUUUGCUAUAUGUACCCAUUUCUUUAAUAAACUAACAUCUCGAUAGGAACAUAAAUGAGGUGCUAUCAUGUUCCUUCAUCAAGAUUCAUGCAGUCUUCCCAUUAAUGGUAGGCAACUCCACCCUUUCCAUGCAUCAACAUAGCACUUAAAAAUUUGGGAGGAACACUUUGUCUUAAAGAUAAAAUUUUAAUUUCUAAAUUUAUUUUUUAUACAAUUCCAUAUUCACAAGUUUUUCAAUCUAUUUUUAUAAUCAUAGCAAAUAAUUAUUUUCUCCAUUGCUUUCUUCUAUUCAAUCCAUUCUUGCUAAUAUCAAAGUUACUGGUAAAACUGAAAAAAUGCAAUCCUUAAUUGUCCAAAUAGAUAAAUUAAAGAAAUGAUAUUGCUAAAAGAAAUUAAUAAGCUAUUUAACAACGAUGAAAAAACAAAUAUAUUAUUUCAUGAAAAUACUUAAAAGGAAAAAUACAAAUCAGGUCUCCAUGAGGAUUGAAGUGGGUUAUAGUUCCCCCUAAAACAUGUCCUUUGUAAAACUUAAAAUGCAUAGAAUUGAACUCUUGCAAAAUCAUCACUUAUAUAGUUGCAAUUAUCACAAUGUCUUCAUUCUUUUAGUAUCUUCGAUUCGCUUUGUGAAAGCGGACAUACUAGACUUUAAAAGAACUCUGUCAAAACACCAUAAUCAAAUUUCCUAGUCUUUGAAUAGCUAAUUGAGUUAUCCUUUGGAUCGUAUAUCAUCACACUAUCAUCAAACAUAAUAAAAAAUUCACCUCUUUUUGACAAACAAAAUGAGUGAGAAAACAAAUAAUCCACGAGAUUUAGAGCACAAUCGAUUGCAAACAUCUUUAUCCAAGAUUCUUUGUCCUCGUACUCCUCCAUAGUCCACACAUCUACGUGAGUAGUUGAAUUAUUACAAAUCGCGCAAAGAUUAUUUCCCAACACCCCCAACACAAGAGCUUCACUCUCUUCUCCAUUGUAAGGUCGUUCCACUUUUCUCCAUUUCUCAUUAAUCAAAUUGAAAGAGGUUAUGCUCCAACCUCUUUGGAUAUUAAUCCUAGUAGUCCAAUAAAAUUUUCCAUUCACAAAUUUAUCCGAACCAAUUAAUCGUAUCAGUGAACAAUGUAUUAUUUGCCAAGAAUCUUUCUUUAAACUAUAUAUAUCUAUCUCUUGAAAAUGAGGUGGACAUCCAACAAUAGAAAAAAUACACACUACCAUGUAAUCAUCAUGGAUCUCAUCAUAUCCAAAGCCAUAAGUGCAAUAACCCUCAUCCUUCAAUUGAGUUCUAAAAUUAGGCAAUUUCUUACACUUUCUUAUUGUUGGAUUCCAUAAAAAUACUUCAUUUUCCUUAUUCACAAGACAAACCAAUCCAUUGAUAAAACCCUCAAUCGUAAAAGAUAUACCUGAGUUUUUCAUAUGAUAAUCCAAAUCAGUUUCCUCCAUAACAAAACAAUCCUUAGGUUUGAGUUCUUGUUGGGUUAUACUCAAAAUAACAUUAUGGUUGGUGAAGUAUUUGUUAUGAUUAGCCGAUAAAUUAAGAUGGUACUUGAUAAAUUUAGGACUAGUAAUCAAUGAAUGCCAAGAUUUUGAAACAAACCUGAUUUCCAAGAGAGAUUUUACCGGAAGCUUUAAGAAAAUUUCAAUAACAAUUUCAAUUGGCAGAUCAAAAGGGAUUGUUGGGUUGCUCUGAUGAGAUACUUCAUGUUUUUCUGAUAAGUUUAAAACCUCAAUUUCGGAACUUAAUUGUUCCUCUGCCAUGCUUUAGAAUGAAUAGGCUUGUUCAUCUCUUUGCUAAAUUUAUAGCAAACUCAUAUCACUAAAAUAAAUAAAAUAGUGUACUAAAAUUUAAUGUUAGAUCAUCUCUCAUAAUACUUUGGAGAAAAAGUCAGAACUGAUAGUCGUUACAUGAACAAAUUUCAAAAUUAUAACAGAAGUUAUAAAUGCUAAGUCACUCUUUUUCCAAAUGAAAAAGUUAGUCUUGUAAGAAAUAAAUAGUCAAUAAUGUAGUUAAUUCAUUUUAUCUGUUAUCACUCUUGGUAAAAAUAAUCAUCAUAAUAAACAUAAAAUGCUACCUUAGUCUUGUAAGGAAAAAUAGUCAAUAAUGUAGUAAAUUCAUUUUAUCAGUUAUCACUCUUGGUUAAAAAAAAAUCAUAAUAAACAUAAAAUGCGAUCGCCUCUAACGAUAACAAUGAGAACAGAGACAAAUAUAUCCUUCAAUUUCACCAAUUAAAGUGGAUAUAUUCCUCGUUAAAAAAAGUGGUAUAAAAAUAUUUUUUUUAUUUAAGAAAAUAAAAAUAGUUUAAAAUUUGUGGUUGUAUGCCUCUUUUGUACUUUCUACAUCAUUUUCCCAUAUUUACAUCUUUUUGGACAAUCAAUUGAAAAUUUUCACACUAAUAAUAUUAUUAUGUUUUUUUUUUGUUUGUGGAGUUGCAGCGUAUAAGUCAUAUUUUGUACAGUUAUUAUCGGAUAUAAGUGGUCUAUAAUUAAAAGCAUCCGACACUCGACAAUAAUAAAAUAUUUGCUCAAAUUAUUUAGCGGCAAUCUUAUAAUUGUUACCAUAUUUUACGUCAAUAUAACGUUUGAGUACUUGUAACAAACACUCCAUAAAUACCAUUAAAGGCUAAAUAUUUUUUUUGGCAAAAGUAAUUAUAGCCAUUAAAUAUCUCUUUCGUUAUAAUAUGAUUACGAGUUAGUCCUUAAUAAUGAUUUGUAUCUACUAUGCAUAUCCUUCUGCUUGUAAUAUCCUUUGUUCAGAUUCUUUUUAACAUCAAGUUUGAAUAGUGAUUUUGGUCCAUUAAUUAGUAAUAUAAGUCUUUUCACUUGAGAAAACGUUUUCUGUUAUAUAAGAGAAAGAAAUCUACUAAGCUAUAUAAUCCUCCCUAGGAGCUCCCACUCCUCACUACAACAAAUAUGAUAUAUAACUAUGUAAUUAUUAGUUACAAUAUCUAAUUUGUCAUUAAUUAUUCGUUUUUAGUGAUAAAAAUUUACUUUUCGUACAUAAAUGUAUGAGACACAUACUUUUCGUGACUAAACAUAAGAAUUCGUUUGCCCACUAAAGUUUUCCACUAAAAAAUUAUUUGGCGUCAUUUUGUUAAGUAGUGUUAGUCACAAAUUUAAAUUUAUCUGUGACACAAUAUUUCGUCACUAAUAGUGAAUGUAAUUUAAAACAAACUAUGACAUCAAAUUCGUCACUAAUUAUUCACUUUUAGUGACAAAAUUUACUUUUCAUGCUUAAAUAUAUGAGACACAUACUUUUAGUGAUGAAACAUAAAAAUUCCUAGCAAAGUUUUACACCAAAAAUUUAUUUGGCGUCAUUUUAUUAAGUAAUAUUAGUCACGAAUUAAAAGUUGUAGUUGACACAUUAUUUCAUCACUAAUAGUGUAUGUAAUUUAUAACAAACUACAAGAUCAAAUUUGUCACUAAUUAUUCGCUUAUAGUGACAAAAUUUACUUUUCAUGCUUAAAUAUAUGAGACACAUUCUUUUAGUGACGAAACAUAAAAAUCCAUAGCAAAGUUUUGUCCGCUAAAGUUUUCCACCAAAAAAUUAAGUGACGCCAUUUGUUAUGUAAUGUUCAUCACGAAUUUAAAGUUAUCAGUGACAAAUUAUUCCGUCACUAAUAAUGUAUCUAAUUCAUGAAAAAAAUAUUUUUUGUUUUAUGAUUUAUUCAAUUUUGACACAAAAGAAUUUCAUCUAAAAGAUAUGUUGUUAGAAUAUCAACAAAUUAGAGUUCUUAGUUAAAUAUUAUAAAUUUUAGCUAUGAAAAUUUAUACUUAAUUAUAACAUUUACUUCGUCAUGAUAAUAUAAAUAAUUGGUGACAAAUAUUUAAUUGUCUCUAAUCAAUCUAUGAUUCAGUUAUAACAAAAAAAUUAUCACAAAAUAUGUAAGGUGUUAGAUAGCGACGACCUAAAAUUUGUUGUGACUAAUUAAACUAUUAGCUACAAAAAAAAAUCAUAGCUAAAACCAAUUUUUUUUUUCUGCAAUUGUUCAUAAUAACAAGUGACGACUUACAAAAAGAAUAGUACAAGUGCUUUAUAAGAAGUAGACAGAGUCCAUUCGUUAAUUGACAAGUGAAAAAUAUUAAAACUAAUGAAUUCGAUUGAUUUUGUAAAAAUGAAAAAGUUAAAUACAUCAAUUUUCUUAAAUUACGCAAUUAUAAAAUGCAUCAUUUGAAAAAUACAAUCCGGGUUAUAGGUAUUGUGAGUGGGAACAGUUCUACCACUAGAUGACUAAUAUUUAUUUGUUUAGCAUUUUUAUUUUUUAUUUGAUACACUUUUAUUGCUAAGCACGAUAAAAAAAUAAUAAUUUGUCAAGUCUUUGUGCUAAGUUUUGUGCAUGUCUAUUGAUUUGUGAUUGGUAAACUACAUAGAUUAAGUCAAUCUAUUUGCUUUUGUAUAUAAAUAUGUGCAUAUCUAAUAGUAAUUGCACAUAUGUACGUAGAGUAACUAUGCAAAGAUAACAUCGACAAACUUAGACUUUGCAAAGGUGCAAUAUAUCUCAUUAAUUUUCAUUAACUUUUUCCAUCAGUGUAAAAAUGAAAUAAACUAAAAAUAAAAACAUAAAUAAAAGAAAUGAUCUAACGAGGAUUUCAAAUAUAUUAUGAUGAAGUACUAUAGUUACUGAUAUCGAUGUUCAACUUGAACCAACUAUUCAUUUUUUUGAAUAAAUUCAAAAGUUUAAUUUAAAAUAAAUUUAUUAUUGUAGUGAAUAAUUUUAAAAACUUAUAAAAAUAAAUAAACAAAAAGACAAAAUUGUAAUGAAUAUAUUUAAACAUAUUUUUUAAAAAUACACAAUUUAAUUCAAACAUAUAAUAUAAAAAAACCCCAUUUUUAUGAUGAUAAAUUUAUAAUAUAUACAUUAAGAAAAAAAUAAUUUUUUUAUAUUCCCUCCGUCCGAAAAUGUUUGUCAUGCUGCGCUUAUUAAAAGUCAAUUUGACUAAUUUCUAAAGAUAAAUUAGAUCACAUUAAUUCGAUAUUUUUAACAAAAAAAUUAGAUAUCCUAAAACUAUAUGAAAAUUACUAUAAAUUACAUUUUUUUGCAUAUUAAUAUGAUGAAAUCAUGACAAACAAUACUGGACGGAGGGAGUACAAAAUAUAAUCAUUAGUGACAAAAUUAGAUUUUGUUCAACUACGUAUAUAUAACUUUAGAGACAAUUGAUUUCGUCACUGAUUGAAGUAAAAUAAUUAGCGACGAUAUAAAUUUGUCGAUAGUAAUAACAUUUUUAGUGACAAAACAUACUAUUAACUACAAAAAAUAUAUUUUUUUACAACAAAUAAAUUUGUCACAAAUGUUUAAGCAUUUUGGAACGAUUUUUAUUUUUGUAGUUAAUGGAAUACUUUUAGCGACGAAGCAUUAAAUCGUAAUUUUAUAUAUAUAGAGACACACUUUUAAUGACGACUGAAUGAUAAAUUAUUUUUCGUCCCAUAAGAUUUUUAGUGACAAAAUCUGAUUUAUUAAUAACGAAAUUAUUUGUCCUUGAUAAUCAAAUUUGUUGUAAUGCCUUUUGCUCCCUUGGCGACUGAACUCACAACCUCCAAAUUGAAAAUGAAGGGUGCUUACCAUCCGCACACUCCCUCUCUCUCGUCAUAACUCGCUAAUAUCAAUCUUACUACUAAAGUUAAAAAGAAUAAUUCAAUCUUUGAUUGACCAAACAACUAAGUUAAUGGAAAGGCAGCACCAAAAAAUUCUAAUAAGCUAUUAGAAAUAAUGAAAAAAAAGUUCUUUUUAUCAUUGAAAUAUGCAAAAAGAAAAGAUUUUUUUUUUAAUAAAAACAAGAUCUCCAUGAAGAAGUUAAAUAUCUCCUUAAAUAUAUGAUGAUUAUUCGACUAAAAAAAAAGAAAAUAUAACAACCCUUUGCAAAGAUGGAACAAUUUCAAAUAAUUACUUGUACAAUCAUAAUUAUCAAAGCUUCUGCCGCCUUCUUUCUUGUAGUGUUCUUGGUUCAUCUUAUGAAAGGGGACAAGUUAAACUUUCACUGUAGAUAAGAAGUAGAUAAUUUGAGUUGACGUAUCAGGUGUUUAGUAUUAAUGUGACCUACAAUGGUGUUUGCCAAUGGAUUCGUUAUUUAUGUUUUCUUUUUCUAUCUUUGAAAUGGGAAGGGUAGGAUCACAUUCUUUGUUAUACCUCUAAGUGGUCAGGUGGAUUUAGUUUAAGAUAUUUAAUAAUUCUAUUGGGGAAAAUCUGUCUUCUAUGAGUACUACUUUUUGUACCAUUUUCUAAUUGUACAAAGUUUGCCUCUUUAUAUCCUCUCCUCAUUCUAUUCACCUUUGGUACAUAUACAAGACUAGGUUUCAAGAAUACCAAUUAUAUUGGAGAAUGGUGUAAACAUUAUUAUCAAAGCAACAUAUAUUGUAUAUUAUAUAGGAUUCAAUAUGUGUAAUUUUUCUUACUUUGUUUAUUCAUAAACACCUCGCUUUUGAAAGGUCUUUUCCUACAAUAUAACCUCCUUACUUCUAUAUUAAAAUGUAAAUGACAUUGAUGAGAGAUUUCAGAUUUAAUUAGAAUACAUUCAAAUCAUAUGAGACUUGAUAAAGUUAGGGCUACAGAUCAAAGCAAGCCAAGUUUUCCAAACAAAAUUUCACCGGAAGCCUUAAGAGGAUUUCAAUAAUGAGAUCAAAGCAAAUCAAGAUUAUUUGUUCAUCAGAUUCUGAAUUUUCUUUCAUUCCUUCACUAUUCUCUCCAUUGAGUUAUUUACCAAGUAGCAUUGUGAUAUGGUGAUUCUUUGAGAAAAUGUUGGAACUCAUAAACAAAGAAAGCAAAUAUAAAGAAAAUUUUGGAGCUGAUAAAGAAAAAAGUAAUUAUAGUAUCACAUUAAAAAAAAAAAAUCACAUUUGGAAUCACCCCAAUAGUUACAUCCUGAUGAUAAUCAUAAUUAUCUUCUUUUUUCAACUUAAUUUCAAUCGUUAUUCCCAGUAUAAGAUUGGAAAAUUUAUGAUUAUUCAUGGACUUCAAUUCAUAAAAUUCAGGUACGGGAGACUUUCUUUUUCUUCAAUUUUUGGACAUACACACUUCAUUUCAUACAGGUCAAUUUUUUGGGAAAUUUUUUUUGUCAACUUUAACUUUUGCAAAUUCAAAGAUGACUGAUUCUACAUUUUGUAGACCGUUGUUGAAGUGAUCAUGUGGAGGAGAGAAAAUAGGUGAUCAAACUUCAGAUUAUUGAUUUUGGUAUGAAGGUAUCAUUUUUAACAUGUUAUUAUUUAUGAAAAUGUUACUAAAAAUGAAGAGAUGGUUCUUUCUCUCUUGCUAUAUUUAUACUGCAUUCACUUGACGAAAAUCACUAAAUAUUAAUUAUAUUAAAUCUCACUUUAAAUUUUCAUGCCAUAAAAGUCAUAUUUCUUUCCAUAGCUUGAUUUGUUAGACAAUAAAUGACCUUUUCAAGUAAAAUAUUUACUAGUGCCAUGAUUUAUGGCUAGUCAAAAUUUGACUUAUAUGAUAUAUUACUAACACAUAAGAAUGUCCUCAAGCAUAGCCAUAUGUCCUUGUCGUGAUAUCAUCAUGAUAUCACAUAUUAUAUAUACUACUUGGUCCUGGCUAUCAAAGUUGAAUUACAGAUUUAAUACUAUAUUGAAUUAAAAACUAAUUAAAUGGUCAUGUUUUAUUUACGUAAAGAUAGAAGUAGAAGCCCAACAUUUGCAUUUAAUUCGUUAGUUAUGACAUUAUAAAUUUUCUUAGUUAUAUCUAAUUAAAGUAAACUUACUUGAAAAAAAACUUUUCUUUUUCAUUCCAUAACUAUGAUGAGUACAGAUUAUAGGCCGAAAUCGUUUGCAUGUUAAAAUAUUAUAUGGCAUCUCUUCAUUUCUAUUUAGAGAUGCAUGAAAAAUUAGAUUAUUAAAGAAGUUACUAUUAGUCUAUUCCAGUUCAUUGAAAAGUCCAAAUAUUGGUACGACUCAAUUCAACAUUUCCUUCUCUCAGAUUUGAUGAUCAGUUCAUCUAUUCCAAAGUCAAAGUACGUAGCACAUUAGAGCAUAAUCACCUUGAAUUCUUAGUUAAUUCGUCUCAGAAGACUGUGUGUGUGUGUGUGUGUAUAUAUAUAUAUAUAUAUAUAUAUAUAUAUAUAUAUAUAUAUAUAUAUAUAUUAAAAUUGGUCAUUUUGGAUGUGGUGAUCAACUAGCUCCAUAGAUAAGGUCUUAAUGGACGUCCGUGUAAAGUUUUGGCAAAAAUAAUCUCAUAAUUUCGAAUCACAAAAAAAGAUGAGGACUAUAGCACACGAAAAUCGGUAAAAUGAAAGGUUUACAUGGUCUGGACUCGUUUGACAUUGAAAAUGGAUAAUUUUGGCUUUGGUGACCAACUGGAUCCAUAGAUAAGUCCUUAACGAUGUCUGUAUAAAUUUUUGGCAAAAAAUGAUAUUGGAAUUCUUGAUCACCUUUAAAGAUGGUGGACUAUAACACACGAAAAUUGGUAAAAUAUUUUAUUUAUCUGCUCUUGGGCUUGUUUGACCUUGAAAAUGAGACGUUUUGACUCUAGGACCAACCGACUCCAUAGAUAAGGUUUUAACGGAUGUCCGUGUAAGUUUUUGGCAAAAAUGAUCUCAGAAGUUUUGAUCAUCAAAAAUAAUGGUGGAUUAUAGCAUAUGAAAAUUGGCAAAAUUGGGGGUUUACCUGCUCUAGGGCUCGUUAGACCUUGAAAAUGGGUCUUUUGGCCGUGGUGAAAGGUCGACUCAAUAAAUUAGGUAUUAACUAACAUAUGUGUAAAUUUUUGGCAAAAAUAAUUUCGGAAUUCGGAUCACUAACAAAAGAUGGUUGACCAUAGCAUACGGAAAUCGACAAAAUGGGGGGUUUACUUGCUUUGAGCUCGUUUGACCUUGAAAAUGGAUUGUUAUGGCAGAGGUGAUCAACCAGAUCUAUAGAUAAGGUCUUAACAAACCUUUGUGUAAAUUUUUGGCAAAAAUGAUCUUGGAAUUAUGGAUCACCAAAAAAUGGUGGAAUAAUAGCACACGAAAAUCGCAAAAAAAUGGAGGGUUUACCUAUUCUAGGGCUCGUUUGACCUUUUUGAUAAUGAGCCAUUUUGGUCAUGGUGACCAAUCGGCUCCAUAAAUAAGGUAUUAAUGUACGUCCAUACAAAUUUUUAGCAAAAAUGAUCUUGGAAUUUCAGAUCACCAAAAAUGAUGGUGGACUAAAGCACACGAAAAUCAAUAAAAUAGGUAGUUUACCUACUCUAGGCUCGUUUGGCCUUGAAAAUGGGCUGUUUCGGCCGUGGUUACCAACCAGCUCCAUAGGUAACGCCUUAACAGACGUCCUGUAAAUUUUGGCAAAAACAAUCACAGAAUUUCGGAUCACCAAAAAAAUAGUGGACUAUAGCACACAAAAAUUUACAAAAUAGGGGUUUUACCUACUAAUUUGGGGCUCAUUUAACCUUUAAAAUGGGCAGUUUGGGUCGUGAUAACCAACCAGAUCUAUAGAUAAGGUCUUAGCUAACGUCUAUGCAAGUUUUUGGAAAAAAUGAUCUUGGAAUUUUGAAUUACCAAAAAAGAUGGUGGACUAUAGCAUAUAAAAUCGGUAAAAUGGGGGGUUUACCUUCUGUGGGCUAGUUUGACCUUUAAAAUCGAUCGUUUUGGCUGUGGUAACCAAACAGAUCCAUAUUUAAGGUAUUAAUGGACAUCUGUGUAAAUUUUUGGCAAAAAUUAUUUUGGAAUUCCGGUAUACCAAAAAAAUAUUGGACUAUAUAGCACACGAAAAUCAACUAAAUAGGGGGUUUACUUGCUUAUGGGCUUGUUUUACCUAAAAAUGGGAUAUUUUGGCCGUGGUGACGAACUGAUUUCAUAGAUAAGGUCUAACUGGACGUCCAUGCAAAUUUUUGGCAAAUAUGAUUUCAAAAUUUCGGAUAACCAAAAAAGAUGGUGGACUAUAGCCCACAAAAAUCAGCAAAUAGGAGGUUUAUCUACUCUAGGCUCGUUUGACCUUGAAAAUGGGACCUUUUGACCAUGGUGACCGACUGACUCUAUAGAUAAGGUCUAACAGACGUCCAUGAAAUAUUUUGACAAAAAUGAUGUCGGAAUUUUGGAUCACCAAAACAAAUGGUAGACUAUGACACACGAAAAUCGACAAAAUAGGGGGGUUACCUGCUCUAGGGCUCAUUUGACCUUGAUAAUAUGUCAUUUUGACUGUGGUGAAAAACUAGAUCCAUAAAUAACAUAUUAACGGAUGUCCAUGCAUGUUUUUUGUAAAAAUGAUCUUGAAAUUUUGGAUCACCAAAAAAGAUGGUAGACUUAUAGCACACGAAAAUAGACUAUGUAUGGGGUUUACCAGCUUUAGGGCUCGUUUGACCUUGAAAAUUGAUCGUUUUGGCCGUGGUGACCAACUCACUCCAUAAAUAAGGUCUUCACGAACAUCCAUUCAAUUUUUGGCAAAACUGAUCUCAAAAUUUUGGAUCAACGAAAAAUAUGGUGGACUAUAUCAUAAGAAAAUCGGUAAAAUGGGGGUCUACUUUCUCUGGACUCGUUUGACCUUGAAAAUAGAUUGUUUUGGUCGUGGUGACCAAUCGACUUCAUUGAUAAGGCCUUAACGGAUGUCCGUAUAAAUUUUUGGCAAAAAUGAUCUCAGAGUUUUGGAUCACUAAAAAAAUGGUGAAAAAUUGUAAAGUUAUGGAUUUACCUGCUCUUAGGCUCGUUUGAUCUUGAAAAUAAGUUGUUUUGGCUGUGAUGACCAACCGAAUCAAUAGAUAAGGUCUUAACGGACGUCCCUGCGAGUUUUUCGCAAAAAUAAUUUUGAAAUUUCAUAUCACCAAAAGAUGGUAGACUAUAGCACACGAAAAUCGAUUAAAUUGAGGGUUUGCUGCUUUGGGGCUCGUUUGACUUUGAAAAUGGGUUGUUUUGACUAUGUUGACUAACCAAUUGCAUAAAUAAGGUUUUAACGGACGCCGAUGUAAUUUUUUAGCAAAAAUUAUCUCAGAAUUCUGGAUCACCAAAAUCCCUUGAACGAUAGCACACGAAAAUUGACUAAAUUGGGGUUUACCUGCUAUGUACUCGUUUGACCUUGAAAAUAAGCCGUUUUGACUGUGGUGACCAACCAGUUCUAUAGAUAAGGUCUUAAUGGACGUCUCUGUUAAUUUUUAGCAAAAAUAAUCUCGAAAUUCUGGAUCACUAAAAAGAUAGUAGACUAUAGCACACGAAAAUUGACAAAAUGGGGUGCUUACUUGAUUUAGGCUCGUUUGACCUUGAAUAUGGGCUGUUUUAGUCGUGGUGUCCAACCCAAUUUGGAUUGCAGGCUGCAACUCGCCUGCAUGAAGCCAGAAUCGCUAGUAAUCGCCGGUCAGCCAUACGGCAGUGAAUUCGUUCACGGGCAUUGUAAACACCGCCCGUCACACUAUGGGAGCUGGCGGCGGAUGUCAGCGGUUCGAGUCCGCUUACCUCCAACUCGUGAACUUAGCCGAUACAAAGCUUUAUGAUAGCACCCAGUUUUUCUGAUUCGGCGGUCAAUCCAUACAUAAGGUCUAAACGGAUGUACAUGUAAGCUUUUGACCAAAAUAAUCUAUGAAUUGUGAAUCACCAAAAAUAUUAUAGGCUAUAGCACACAAAAAUGGCAAAAUAUGGGGUUUACAUGGCCUGAAGCUUAUUUGACCUUGAAAAUAAGGUGUUAACGGACAUCUGUAUAAAUUUGUCAAAAAAUAUCUCAUAAUUCUGGAUCACAAAAAAGACGGUGGACUUUAGCAUACGAAAAUUGGAAAAACGAGGUAUUUACCUGCUAUAAGGUUCGUUUGACCUUGAAAAUGAAAAGUUUAGGCCAUGGGGAUCAACCGACUCCACGGGUAAGGUCUUAAUGGAUGUUCGUGUAAGUGUUUGGCAAAAAUUAUCUCGUAAUUCUGGAUCACCAAAAAAGAUGGUGAACUAUAGGACACGAAAUCGGCAAAAUAGGUUGUUUACCUGCUCUAGGAUUCGUUUGACUCUUAAGCCGUGGUGACCAAACAAUUCUAUAUAUAAGGUCUUAGAGAAUGUUUAUGAAAUUUUAUGGCUGAAAUAAUCUCAAAAUUAUGCAUCACCAGAAAAGAUGGUGGAUUAUAUCAAAUGAAAAUUGGUAAAAUGGGGUCUACUUGCUCUGGAACUGAUUUGACCUUGAAAUAGGCCGGUUAGGCCGUGAUGACCAAUCGACUCCAUAGAUAAGGCCUUAAUGUACGUCUGUGUAAAUUUUUGAUAAAAAUGAUUUCGAAAAUCCAGAUCAUAAAAAAAGAUGGUAGACUAUAGCACACGAAAAUCGGCAAUAUUUGGGGUUUACCUGCUCUGGACUCGUUUGACCUUGAAAAUGGAUCGUUUUGGUUGUCGUGACCCACCGACUGUAUAGAUAAGGUCUUAAUUGAUGUCCAUGCAUGUUUUUGGCGAAAAUGAUCCCACAAUUUGGGAUCAUAAAAAAUAAUGGUGGACUAUAGCAAACGAAAAUCGACCAAAAUAGGAGGUUUACCUUCUCUAGGCUUGUUUAACCUUGAAAUUGGGCCAUUUCUCUUUGGUGAACAACCAGCUUCAUCGAUAAGGUCAUAAUGAACGUCCAUGCAAACUUUUGGCAAAAAAGAUGUAAGAAUUUUUUAUCACUAAAAAUGAUAGUGGAAUAUAACACAUGAAAAUUAACAAAAUGGGGGGUUUACCUUUUGUGGGGCUCGUUUGACCUUGAAAAUAGAACGUUUUAGCCAUGGUGACCAACCGUCUCUAUAGAUAAGGUCUUAAUGGACAUCCAUGUAAGUUUUCGAUAAAACUAAUCUUAGAAUUCCGGAUCACCAAAAAAGAUUGUGGACUAUAUAUAGCACACAAAAAUUGAAAAAAUAUGGGUUUACCUACUCUGGGCUCGUUUGACCUUAAAAAUUGAUCGUUUUUACCAUGGUGACCAACAAAUUCCAUAGAUGAGGUCUUAACGACCCUUUGUAUAAAUUUUUGGCAAAAAUUAUUUUGGAAUUCUGGAUCAACAAAAAUACCAUGGACUAUAGCAUACAAAAGUCGGUAUAAUGGGGGGGGCUUACAUACUCUUGGCUCAUUUGAGCUUUAAAUUGGACCGUUUUGAUCGUGGUGACCAACCGACUCAAUAGGUAAGGUCUUAACGGACAUCCGCAUAAAUUUUUGGCAAAAAUGAUCUCAUAAUUUCAGAUCACCAAAAAAGAUGUGGACUAUAUAAGACACGAAAAUUGGCAAAAUGGGGGGUUUACCUUCUCUGGGCUUGUUUGACCUUGAAAAUGGAUCGUUUUGGCCAUGAUGAUAACUGCCUACAUAGAUAAGGUAUUAACGAAUGUUCGUGUAGUUUUUUGCAGAAAUAAUCUUGUAAUUUCGGAUCACCAAAAAUCUCAUGGACUAUAGCACACAAAAAUUGACAAAAUUGGGAUUUACCUUUUUGGUCUCCAUUUACCUUAAAAAUAGGCCGUUUUGGUCGUGGUGACCAACCAAAUUCAUAGAUAUGGUCUUAACGGAUAUCUAUAUAAAUUUUUGGCAAAAAUGAUAUCAAAAAAUUUGGAUAAUAAAAAAAAGAUGGACUAUAUAUCACACGAAAAUUGAUAAAAUAAGGGGUUUACCUUCUGUUGGGCUCAGUUGACCUUGAAAAUGGGCCGUUUUGGUCAUGGUGAUCAACCUCAUUAGAUUAGUUAUUAAUGAACAUCUGUGUAAAAUUUUUCCAAAAAGGAUCUCGAAACUCUAGAUCACCAAACAAUAUGGUGGACUAUAUAGCACAAAAAAUAGCAAAAUGGAGGUUUACCUGCUCUAGGCUCGUUUGACCUUGUAAAUGAGUCAUUGUAGCCGUGCUGACAAAAUGACACCAUAGAAAAUGUCUUAACAGACGCCCGUGUAAAUUUUUGGUAAAAGUUAUCUGGGAAUAUGAGAUCACUAAAAAAGAUGGUGGACUACACAAAUUGAACAAAAUGGAGGGUUUUGCGUGUUUUGGGCUCGUUUGACCUUGAAAAUGAGCCGUUUUGAUCGUGGUGACCAACGACUCCAUUGAUAAGAUCUUAAUGGGCAUCUGUGUAAUUUUUCUGCAAAAAUUAUAUCGGGAUUUUAGAUAAUAUAAAAAGAUGGUAGAUUGUAGCAUACGAAAAUUGUUAAAUUGGGGGAUUUACAUGCUUUGGGGCUCGUUUGUCCUUGAAAUUGGACUAUUUUGACCGUGGUGAUCAACCGACUCCAUAGAUAAGUUCUUAACUGACGUCCAUACAAUUUUUGCUAAAAAUGAUUUUGGAAUUCCAAAUCACAAAAAAAUCUCAUGAUUAUAGCACACGAAUUUCAGAAAAAUAUGUGUUUACCUGCUCUUGGGAUCGUUUGAUCUUUAAAAUGGGUCGUUUUGGCCAUGGUGACCAACCAAUCCAUAGAUAAGGUUUUAACGGACAUCCAUGUAUUUCAAGUUGUGUAUUUUAAUGCAUGUGUAUUAUUAUGCAUGUUAGUUUUAAUGCACCAAAUCAAAUAAUUAAUUAGAAAUAAUAAAAGCAAAUGUAACAAUCCAUAUUUUUUUUGCAUAUUGUGAAGUGGUUGUGUAUUUGGAUUAAAGGAGAGCUUUUUAAUUAAUGACUUAUAUGACUUUUUUUAGUGAAAAGGUAUGUUUGAUCUUGAAAAUGUGCCCCCUUUCUCCGUAGGAUAAACUAGAUACAUUGCCAAUGUUUUAAUGUAUUUUCACGGAAAGUUUUGGUUGUUUUCCUUCGAAAAUUUCGGAUCACAAAAGUUCCAUGGAUUAUAACACACCAAAGUCAGGAAAAUCUGUGUUUACCUGUUUUGGGGCUCGUUUAAACUUGAAAAUUCGCUUUUUCCCUAUAGGAUGAAUUGGAUACAUUGCCAACAUCUUAAUGGACGUCAAUAAUUUUUUUUCAUUUCAUUUCGGGAAUUUCGAAUCACAAAAAUUCCAUGGACCAUAGUACAUUCAAAUCAUUUAAAUAUGCAUCUACCUACAUUAGACUUGUUUGAACUUGAAAAUGCACUCGUUUUCCCCGCGAGACAAACUAUAUACAUUGUCAACGUCUUCACAAACAUAUAUGAAAAAUUUCAGCCAUUUCGUUUCAAGAAUUCUAAAUCACAAAAAUUGCAUGGAGUAUAGCACACAAAAAUCAGAAAAUAUGUGUUUACCUGCUUUGAGACUCGUUUGAACAUGAAAAUUCGCUCGUUUUCCUCGCGGGACGAACUGGAUACAUUGCCAACGUAUUAACGGAUGUUCACUAAAAUUUUUGACCAUUUUGUUUUUGGAAUUGUGAAUCACAAAAAUUUCAUUGACUAUAUCACACGAAAUUGGAAUGAUCUAUGUUUAUCUACUUUGGGGCUCAUUUGAACUCUAAAAUUCACUUGUUUUGGAGCUUGUUUGAACUUGAAAAAUGAGUCUGUUUUCCCUGUAGAACGAACUGGAUACAUUGACAAUAUCUUAACAGGCGUCUAUGAAAAAUUUUGGCCAUUUUAUUUCUCGAAUUUCGGACCAUAAAAAUGCUAUUGACUAUAACACAUGAAAAUUGGAAAAAAUUGCGUUUACCUGCGUUGGAGCUUAUUUGAACUUGAAAAUCUGCCCAUUUUUCACUCGGGAUAUACCAGAUACAUUGCCAACGUCUUAAGGACGUCCCCAAAAAUUUUUGGUCAUUUAUUUUGAGAAUUCUGGAUCACGAAAUUUUAAUGCACUAUAAUACACGAAAAUCGGUAAAAUCUGUGUUUACUUGCUUUGGGCUCAUUUGGACUUGAAAAUGCAUCCGUUUUUCCCUAGGACAACUUGAUUCAUUGUCAAUGUCUUAAUGACGUCCAAAAAUUUUUGAUUAUUUUGUUUGGGGAAUUCUGGUUACAAAAAUUCAUGGACUAGCACACAAAAAUUGGAAAAAUUACAUUUUUUUACCUGCUUUGUGGCUCGUUUGAACUUGAAAAUGUGCCCGUUUUCCCGUGGGACAAACUGAAUACAUUGUCAAUGUCUUAACGGACAUUCACAAAAAAAUUCGUCCAUUUUGUUGAAAAUUCAAGAUCACAAAAAUUCCAUGGUCUGUAACACACAAAAAUUGGUCAAAUAUGUUUUUCUACUCUUGGCUCGUUGACAUUUAAAAUGAGUCAUUUGGGCCGUGGUGACCAACCGUCUCCAUAGAUAAGGUCUUAAUAGACGUCCAUGUAAAUUUUCAGCAAAAAUGACAUUGAAUUUCGGAUCGCAAAAAAUUCCAUGGACUCUACACAAAAAUCAAUAAAAUGAGAUUACAUGCUCUCGGGUCGUUUGACCUUGAAAAUGGGUCGUUUUCUCCGUGGUGACCACCUAUAUCCAUAAGGUCUUAACGGAUUUCAAUUAUUUUUUGGCGAAAAUGACACCGAAAUUCUGAAUCACCAAAAUCUCAUUGAUGAUAGCAUAUGUUAAUCAACAAAAUGAGGGGUUUACCUGCUAAGGGGCUUGUUUUUCCUUAAAAAUGAGCCAUUUUUAUCGUGGUGACGAACCGACUCUAUAGUAAGGUCUUAAUGGACGUCCAUGCAAUGUUUUAAAAAAAAUGAUCUCGAAAUUCCGAAUCACCAAAAAGAUGGUGGACUAUAGAACACGAAAAUUAACAAAAUAGGGGAACAAAGUGCCGCUUCGGGAAACAUGGGUAUUGAAAAUCUUAAAAACCCGUAGGUUCCCAAAUUUAAAGCAAUUCCAACCAAGAUGACAGAUCCUGCCGCAGGUUUACUUGCUUUAGGGCUCAUUUGACCUUGGAAAUUGUCUUUUGGCCGCGGUGACCAACUGAAUCCAUAGAUAAGGUCUUAACGGACAUCCAUGUAAAUUUUUGGCAAAAAUAACGUCAGAAUUUUGGAUCACCAAAACUCUCAUGAACUAUAACACAAGAAAAUCGAUAAAAUGAGGGGCUAACCUACUUUUAGACUCGUUGACCUUGAAAAUGAGCUAUUUUGGCCAUUGUGAUCAACUGACUUCAUAUAUACGGUCUUAACAGACAUCUCUUUACAAUUUGGUAGAAAUGAUAUUCGAAUUCUGGAUCACAAAAAAAGAUGGUAGACUAUAGCAAUGGAAAAUUGGCAAAAUGGGGGCUUACUUGCUUUGGGAAUCGUUUGACCUCGAAAAUGAGUUGUUUUGGCAGUGGUGACCAACCGAAUAUAUAGAUAAGGUCUUAAAAAUGUCCAUGCAAAUUUUUGGCAAAAAUGAUCUUGGAAAUCUGGAUCAUCAAAAAAGCUUGUCGACUAUAACACAUGAAAAUUUACAAAAUAGGGGGUUUACAUGCUUUAGGGCUCGUUUGACCUUGAAAAUGGAGCGUUUUGACCGUGGUGACCAACCGACUCCAUAGAUAAGGUCUUGACAGACGUCCAUGUAAAUUUUCAUCAAAAAAGACGUUGGGAUUUUGGAUCACUAAAAAUCUCAUGGACUUAUCGCACACGAAAAUAAACAAAUUAGGGGAUUUAAAUGCUUUGGGGUUCAUUUGACCUUGAAAAUGGACUGUGUUAGAUGUGGAGACCAACCAGCUCCAUAGAUAAUGUCUUGAAGAAAUCCAUGUAAAUUUUUGGCAAAAAUAAUCUCAAAAUUUUGGAUCACUAAAAAAGAUAGUGGACUAUAGUGCAUAAAAAUCGAUAAAAUGAGGUUCUUACUUGCUUUAGGGUCAUUUGAGAUUUAAAAUGGCCCAUUUUAGCCGUGGUGACCAAUCUACUCUAUAGAUAAGGUCUUAACAAACGCCCAUGCAAUUUUUUGGCAAAAAUGAUCUCGGAAUUCCGGAUCAUCAAAAAUGAUAUGGACUAUAGCACAUGAAAAUCAUCAAAUUAGGGGUUUUACCUGCUCUAAGGAUCGUUUGACCUUGAAAAUGAUCCUUUUUUGGCCGUGGUGACCAUCUGGAUCCAUAGAUAAGGUCUUAACGGACAUUCUUAUAAAUUUUUGGCAAAAAAUUCCGUAUAACAAAAAAUCCUAUGGACUAUAGCACACAAAAAUCGACAUAAUGGGGGGUUUACCUGCUCUGGGCUCGUUUGACCUUGAAAAUGAGUCAUUUUUGUGCUGACCAACCAGCUCCAUAGAUAAGGUUUUAAUUGACGUUCAUGUAAAUAUUUGGGAAAAAUGAUCUUCGAAUUCAAGAUCACCAAAAAAAAAUGGUGGACUAUAGCACACGAAAAUCAUCAAAAUGGGGGGGGGUGUUACUUGCCCCGGGACUUGUUUGACCUUGAAAAUGACCCGUUUUGUCCAUAGUGGUGACCAAUCGUCUCCAUAGAUUAGGGCUUAACGAACGUCCAUGGUAAUUUUUGGCAAAAAUAAUCUCAAAAUUCCGAAUCAGCAAAAAAGAUGGUGGAAAUAACACAUGAAAAUUGAAUAUAAUAUAUAUAUUAUAAUAUAUAUAUAUAUAUAUAUAUAUAUAUAUUAUAUUAAUCACUUCUAUAGAGAAGCUAGCUUUGUUACUGAUAAACUAGCUAGCAUUAGAGAGGAACCUUCUUGGAGGCUAAGGUUUAUAUAAUCUUUUGUGUUAUGAUAUAGCACUGAUUUGGUUCUUGAAGUUGUACAAGUGGUUACCAAAUGAAUUAUAACUACGUGCACAUUGAUUUGGUUUUUGAAGUUGGAACUUAAUGCUUGUGGACUUUAUUGAAAUAUAUGUAUCUUAAGAUAAAAAUCUUUAUUUAUUAUUGAACACAACUAUAUAUAUAGCCAUGGUACUAAUCAAACUACAAUCAUAUUAUUAUAACUUCAUUUUAUCGUUGAUCCUUGCAUUGUGCGAGAAUACAACAAAACAUAUAAUGAAGUUAUUACAUAGAAUUAGCUGCCAAAAGACCUUUGGUUGCCGCAAUCAAGAUUGUCACCAGUACUAACCCCAAGAAUUCCGCAAUACCUCCUGUAAAACCCAAUUCGAUCUUGUACCCUGUUGUCAUUACCACAACCACAUUCUAGGCCACCAUUGAUGAUGUUUGUGAUGACACCAAAUCCAGGAAGAUGAUUGGCUGAUCGAUCACCGGCAGAUGGGUUCCAUCUUCCAAUGAUGACAUCGUGGCAAGAAGGCUUUGGUGAUUGAGGGUUCAUCCAGAACCAGAUAGUUGUCUUGAAUGAGAUGACUGGGUCUGUGGCUACUAAAUCAGGAUUGUUUAAAAGGUCCACUCCGAUGGCUCUUCCACAUGGCCCAUAGUUGUAGUUGUUGUUUUGAAAUGUCAAAAUACACUAAUUAGACACUACAAGUUCAUCAAAUUUUACCAUAUAUAGGACAAAUAGAUUUAUGUAGCUUACUGUGAAAUUUGGAUUGGGCCUCGUCCG
rnacentral:lncRNA from 1 species